rnacentral:lncRNA from 1 species
UUUUUUUUUUUUUUUUGCACUCUUCGUCGUUGUAUCAUUUUUUCCAUUUGUUCAUGAUGUUAUUUCCUGCAACAAUCAAGCAGCAGUUGCAUCCAUCCCAGAACCUUAUUAUUAUGUUAGCAAUCUAGAACAGACCCCAGUGUCAUCUGGUUAAGUACAUUUUGAGCACAUACCAUUUUGUAGAACUCUAGAACUGAUAUCACAUCCUUCAUUUAUUUUUUUGAGUAAAUUGCACAUUUUAAUGAACUGCACAAUACACCACCUCUUGGCAAUCCUUUCGCAAUUGCCAUAUCUUUUACCAUAUAUUUUCACUUUAUAAAAGCUCAACAAAUUAGCAACACAGCCUACCCAAUGUAAGUCAGGCCAACUGGCCAAGCCCCUGGUUCGAUAUAUCAUGAAAAUAGGCCUGCAGUGCUUUGUGUCCUGGUAUCCCUGGUUGCAUGUAAAGUUUCCGAGCACCUUGCCAUAUUGCCUAAAAUGGUUGCCCUUGCCAAUGCGGACAUGAUGCACAUGUUCACCUGUGGUGUUAAGAGGCUGUGGUUCAACCAGAUUGAAAAGGGUAAUGCAGAGUGAUAAUGCAUGGCAUUACACACUGUUGAUGUGAAAGUUGGGCAAAACCCAGUGUUUGUGGAAAUAAUAUCAAAUAGGUGGUGUUGUGCGCAAUACUUUUAAUGCCAAAACAUGAGUCGAUUUCUCUUUUUUUACAUCUCAACUGAUAGUUCCUACUUUUCUAUUCGAACAGGAACCAUCUUGCAACAAAAUGGUAAACAUGUUCACAUGUACUACUAUGUCUGAUUUAUUUCUCCGGUAUGUCACUGUAUCCAAUUCCCUUUUUAGAGAAACAAAUGUAUUACAAUAACACUUUUUGUGCGAAUGACUUGGCAUUCGAUCCUGCAGCAUCAUGAUGUUCAUUAUUCUUACAGAUAGUAAUUUCAGAGGCAAUUGAAAAUCUUGUGCAAUCAUAAGAAUGCAGAGACAAUUACACAACACCUUGAAAGAGACAAUUAUAACUCCCUGAAACUGAAUACCAAAAAAAAACCCUUCAAAUAGAAAUAUGUAGCCCCUAAACAAGAAAGGAAUCAUAUCCCUGAAAUGGCAAACAUCUGGUAUGACAAAAUAUAACAUGUUUGGUGUAAUACACAGAAGCAUAGAGAUGCAAAACAUACUGUAGAAAUGCAACACACUAGCAACAUGAUUCAUCUUUAUGAUCAGAUUGGCUACUUUCCCAAAUUUAAAGGAUGAGGCCAUUUCUUUUGCCCAGAAAGUUGUGAAACCAUUGCUUCAGCUGUCGGAUGAGAAUGGUCCUGUUGCAGUAUGUAUUUCUUUGACAUUCAUGAAAGCUAAUUUUUCAGAUAUAAAUUUCUCAGAUAAGAAACAUAAUGGUAUCUGCUUUUGCAGGAGAAAGCAGUUGAUUUACUGGGUUUACUUAUUAAACUCUUCCCCUCAUCUGUAUAUCGGCACUUCAAUAAUGUAUGAGUUCAGCUUUUGUUCAACUUUUUUAUGGUAAUUGUAGUGCUCCCACCUUUUCAGAUGCUUACCUUUCUGAAGGGAAAACAAAAGGAGAACUCACAAGAAAUCAGAAUAGUUUGUUGUCUCCUGUUGAUAAGGUUGAGCUGCAAUUUUAUAGGAUAUCCAAUAUACAAAACACAUAUCAAUUCAGUGUUUACAUGGCAUGCACUAUAACCUCCAUGAUAUCUGGGUAUCUUAGACCUCAAUAAGAAAGAAAGAAGCAUAAGAUACUUAAAGCAUGUUUCUUUUUUUUCCAUAGAGAAUGUCUAGUAUAAUUAAACUGAGGUGUAACUGGAUAAAGGAAUCAGUGUAUAGUCUGUCCUCUUUGCUUAUAUGGUGGCCUGGCCUUUAAUCCUUCAUUAUGAUAUUUCCUUUUCUGUUAUUGGCUUUUACAUGAUUAGUAUCAGAAGGAAGUUAUGCUGAAAUUGAUUCCGAGAAAUGGCAGUGUUGCUAUUUCUGGCACGUAGAUUCUCAUGUACAGCAACAAUUGACAAGUACUAAAAUGCAUAUCAAUAUUUCUAGUAUUUCAGAUAUAGGAAGAAUCCAUCUACCUAUAUCCAAUAGUAGGAAAUCCAAGAGAUGCAGAACUUGAGAUACCAAUUGGUUUAGAAAAUUUAAAUCUUAUAUUGCUAUGCAGACCAGUAUGACACAUGUUAGUAUAGAAGAGAUCUAUGGUUGGCAGUGUGAAAGGUAAAAUGGCCAUUGUACUGGUUCUAGAUUACUCUUAGGGACUUGGUAUUAGAUAUCUAUGGUAAAACAUGCUGGAGAUAUGUGUAUCUUUGUAUCAAGAGAGAGAAUACAUCCACACCCUUCCAAAUCAACUGCCUCACCUUACUAGGAAGACUUGAGCAAGUUGCAGGAAAGAUUAAACACACUCACUGGUUACAGUUACAGACAGAAACAACCGGACCAAAAUAGACACCAAAACCAACAAAAUUGGCAUAGACCAAACUCCCUAAAGGCCUCUAGCCCUGUAGCACCAGCCAAGCUCCAGAGAUGAGCCUCAUCUUUGAGAUUUCUCUGAGCUUCCUGGAUGCAAGGAGAGGCUCCACCAAAGACAUGCUUAUUUCUAUACUUCCGAAGGAUCCAGGCACUCAGGAUUAUGAGGGUGUUAAACCCUAGAACUAGUACAAUGGCUAAGGAUAAAAUAGUCAUUAUAUUAAUUCUAGGGUUUGGGGUGUCACAUGUGGAAGAGGAGUAUAGCAAUCGGGUUGAUCAUGUUUCAUCUUUGACAGCUUUGAACUUAUUAUGUCAUCCACAUUUCCCACAGCAAUUUGUUCCUUGAUGAUAUUUUCACAAGUAUAUGUGUAGUGCUAUCAUGCAAAUUUAUUACAGCAUGAUUAUAUUGCAUGAACUAUGGGGGUUUGCAUACUUAUAUUUGUGCUUUCAGGUUGAAUCCACCAUUACAACAAAAAUUAUGAGUGGUCAAUGCAAUCUUCAAGAAUUAAAGGUCAGACACUUUCGUGAGAUUGCAUAACAGUUUUUCUCAAUAGACACUUUUUUUCCUUCCUUUUCAUAAGAGUUUCCCAUUUGACUGAUUUAUUCUGCUUUCUAUUCUUUUAGAAACUUGCCAGCACUUUAGCACUGUUACCUUAUGUCAGAUUUUCUCAGUGUAGUACGUCGCUGAUGAUUCAAAAGUUAUUGGUUAUGGUAAACAAUAUGUUGAAUGACACUUUUGUUGGACUUGAAAAAGGCAAGGUCCCUCAAUUGCAUUUAUUUCUUUAAUAUUUAUUUUAGUCAACUCGGUGCAAUAUCUAAACUAUCAUGCCCACUUUGCAGAAGAUACUGAUUAUGAGCUAAUGAUGCUGCUAGCUCCACCUGGAAGUAAAUUAGUACCUCCAUUGGGAGGACAGACAACUUGUGGAGAUAAACACAUUCAUUCAACAAAGAAAUUUCAUGCAUAUAUAGUACCUACAAUUUCGGCUCUCGUACAUUGUUGUUCUAUGAUGCUAACUAGUCCUUAUCCAGCUCAGGUUCGUUGGACAUAAUGUAUUUCUGGGUUUUGGAAUAAGUCCAUCCUUAACCCCCUCAACUCUUGCAUUUGUCUAGUUUUAACCAUCAAACACAAGAGUUGAGGGGCUAAAUAUGAACUUAUUCCUUCUUUUCUCUUUCACUAUUUAAGCUCUCUAAAGCAUGCCCUUGUGUUCCUAUUUGCAACUAAGGUGAUCAAUAUUCCAGUUCGUGCAUUGGUAACUUUAAUACAAAAGGUUCUGUUGAUUGAUGGAUCUUUGCUGUUGCAAUCAAAUACUCCCUUGUGUCAGGAGCUUAUUUGUUCUGAAAUUCCAACAUUGCAUUCAAUAUUUUUGGAUUUGCUUGCUUCCACUAUUAAAGGAAUGCGCAGGUAAUUUGCAUCAUUUUCUUUCUAUGCCUUUGUUCUAAUAAGUUGAAAAAACUUAUCACCUGGGAUUGGAGAACAUAUGUGGCCUUUCAUACAUGCACAUUAGAUGAAUACUGACAGAGCAAGACAGGCUCUUGAGUGAUUGAAAUUUAAUAACCCAAAAUACUUUCGAGUUCUCUAUAGAGAAACUUAGUUACCACCAUAUUCAUUAUAUCUCUUCUGAAAGUAUUAUCAAUUAUAUCAGUACUGUAGGUCUGCUAAGCACUUGAGCAGCCACUGAAUUUCUUAUGACAAAUAGAAUAGAACUCUAAUAUGGAACUCUUGUACUCUACUGCAGCUCACUCGUACCACAUGCUGGUACUGUCGUAAUGCUCAUAGCUGAGUACUUCAAAAAAGCAAAACUGCCUGCAUUAAGAAGAAAACUCUACACCAUUGUGCAGUUAUUGCUGAGUUCCAUGGGUGUCGGUAGGUGGUUCUUGGUUCAUACCAGAGCAUAGUUAGAGCCCAGCAUAUGUAAGUAGUAGAGACAAACUAGCACAUUACUCAGUGGGCUAAAAAAGAACAGAGAGAGAACUAGAGUUCCUUAUCUUCUUGUUGUCUACAGGCUAUGUAUAUGUGAUAUUUAUAUGUUUUGUGCUGCUAACUGUUUGAGUCACAUUGUGCAAAUUGGGUGAAACAUAUUUUAGGAAGACAUUUAGUUGUAUGCUUUACUAUUUUUGCUGUUAUGAUGUGUUGCCUGUAGCGACUUGUGAGGGAACCCUUAUGCAUUUACAUACGCAUGUGCAUAUAGAUAUUACAUGUGUGCAUGUACGCUUUCUAUAUUUUGGAGAUGCAAAUGGAUACAAUGAAAGUCAAGGUACUGGUAGACUCCCAAACAACCAGAUCCCAUAGCAUUGCGUUCCAUGAGUACCUUAGGCCAUUUUUGAUAUUUGUUGUUCAUUAUAAACUUUUGCUGUUAAAGCUGCUGAGUUUCUUCUCUCGUAUUGGACCAGGUAUGGCUGUGCAAUUAUUUCAGGUGGUCGUCAGCAAUAUUUUUGCUGAUCUGGAUGAUGAUGCUGGAAGUAGCUCAUACUCAUUAAGAACAUAUCCAAUAGAAGCAACAAUUUGGUCAUCAUCAAAAAGUUCAGACAACAGGAGGCAGACACAGCAACUGCAAAGCUCAAUUGCUGUGAGUUCUGAACCUACAUGUAAUAGACAACUGAUGCCUCCACUAUGUGUCAAAAUUGCUGCACUGGAGACGCUGGAAUUAAUACUGAAUUUGGUAAGGUUAAAAAUUCAACUUUCUUCUUGGUUGGCAAUCCACAAUCUCAUGGGAGUUAAAUUCUAUGUUUUAUCUUCUGUCUGUUGCCUCUGUGAUGUUAAUGUCGAAUAUUUAAAACUUCAACUUUCUUCUUGGUUGGCAAUCCACGAUCUCAUGGGAGUUAAAUUCCACGUCUUAUCUUCCAUCUGUUGUCUCUGUGAUGGUAAUGUCAAAUAUUUAAAAGUUCAACUUUCUUCUUGGUUGACAAUCCACGAUCUUAUGGGAGUUAAAAUUCCACAUCUUAUCUUCUGUCUGUUGCCUCUGUGAUGUUAAUGUCAAAUAUUUACUUAUACCAUCUUUUUUGUUAUCAUUUUUUCAGUUGGACAGUCUUCCUUUUUAUCAUUUUUUCAGUUGAACGAAAAGAUAAACUGUUAAAGUUUCAUUCUACCACGACUUGUGAACAGAAUCCACUCUCAGAUGGACACCGUCCACAGCUUGCAUUCUCUUGGUUUUCUUAAGGAAUCCACUCAUGCAAUGAGAACAGAAUGUGCUUAGUCCUGCGAGUUAUUGAAUUCCAAAAACAAAGGUAUAUUUCAUGUUCUAUAGAGUUACACUGCAGGAUACAUCUUAUAUAAUUUUUCCAAAGCUAAUCUCAAAUCCAGAAGCAGGGAUUGGGUAAUGAUGAUGCAAGCUGGUGUCAAUUACAUGUUUUCUUUCUGAGUUUUGAGGAAGUAUCAGAUGCACAAGAGUAUAUUAGUGAACAUAUGCUCAAUCUUGUUCCUUUAAUGUAAUCGGAGUGGAUUGUGUGUGUGGAUUUAGUCCAAUUGAAAGGUGGAUGAGGGGAUGAGGGAAUUCCCAUCCCUUACAUGGGCCAUUCAGAUUGGAUCCCACUGAGGUUAUUGAGUUCAUGCAAUGUUCACCAAUAUACUCUUGUGCAGAUUCUCCUUUUUUUAACUGGUAUUGGUUUUGUCUGCGCUCCUCGCAGAGGGCAAUCAACAAUUAUAUAAUUUGAAGAUGUCAUUAUGAUAAUGAAGUGCUUGAAUGUCAAUGUGGUUACUUUCUAUUUCGUACAUGUCUGUCUAAGUUGUACAACAUAUGCAGUUGGCAGUCUUAAAAACUCGGUACUCAUUCAGAUGCCAAGUUCAUUGUUGUAGAGUUCAUUUAACUGAAAGUUAAAAAAAAGUAAAGAAAGUUUGGAAAACUCAAAUAAUUAAUUAAUAGAAUUUUUUGACAGUAUAAUAACUAGGAUUUUUUAAAUAUGGUUGGAUUGUUCGUAAAAUCUAGGGUAAAAGGGUACUCAUUCAGAUGCCAAGCUCAUUGUUGUAGAGUUCAUUUAACUGAAAGUUAAAAAAGUAAAGAAAGUUUAGAAAACUCAAAUAACUAAUUAAUAGAAUUUUUUGACAGUGUAAUAACUAGGAUUUUUUUAAAUUUGGUUGGAUUGUUCAUAAAAUCUAGGGUAAAAGGGUCAUGUGACUGCAAGACUUGAAUCAAAAUUGACAUCAUGGUCAAAGCCACCUAAGGUUAAAAUGUUCAAGCAUUUACUGUGAAAUGUACUCUUGCAUAUAGCAAGGAUCAUAAACUCAUCCCAUAAGUGGAUCUUCUUUUGCCUUUUGCCCAUUUUGUCCACCACUUCUCCUUUUUCUCAAACACACAUGAGAAGUGCAUGUCAUUGUGAAAAGUUAGAAGAACAGUCAGAUUACAGAUGCUUCCCAAAAUACGAGCCGUUAAACAAGAAAGGAAACAAACACACUGCCCUUUGUCCACAACUCUGGUACUUUUUUCCUGAGUUGUGUGCUUGUCUUCACGAAAUUCUAAUUUUAGUUCCGAUUCCCAUGUGUUUCUAUUUGAACUUCUGGCACAAUCUUUUGCAUUGUUACAUUUAUUACAAAAACACCUCAGUAGUUCCUUAAUGUAAUAAAUGUCUUUUUCAGUAUCAUCAUUUUAUCCAAGAAAAACUUGAGGUUGCCCUUAGUUUUUAGCUCGUUCUGUAGCACUUGAUCUUUCAUAUGUUCUGGCGAGUUUGGUGCUCAUUUCUCUAAACUUGAGCAGGGGGGUUUAUUUAAUGGCUCCUGGAGAUCAGAAAUGGACCUGCUCCUUAUUGAUGUUGCUACUAAAGCCUGUUACAAAGCAGGGAUGUAUGAACAAAGUCCACCCUGGACUGAAGACCCAAGUAUAUCAGACUUCCAGUUAGCCGCAUUUAGAGCACUUUUGGCAUCCUUUCUUUCCACUCAUCAUGAACGCCCUCUUUAUUUAGAAGAAGGUCUUGAACUCUUUAAUAGAGGUAUGCUACUUAAUUUAUCAUGGUUCACAGACUAGGUUUUCACAAGGAAACAUUCACAUGGAAAACUGUUCUCCUAGUUAGAAUAACUUCUCGAUAUUGAAUUUUAUUUGAUCAGGUAUUGAAUUACCUGAGGUCCACAUAAAUUAUGUUUCUGUAGUAUUUAUAUAUUUUCUUUCUAAUAGGGAAGCUGGAGACUGGCACUGAGCUGGCGAAAUUUUGUUCACAUGCUUUGCUAGCUUUGGAUGCUCGUAUACACCCUCGACAACUCCAUCCACAGUAUAUUUCAAAAAUAGUGGCUCGUGAUGACCUUGGAUUUGUAUCACAACCUUCACAUUCUGUACGCAAGCAUCGAGCCACCGAUGAUUUGGGAGAUGAUUGCAUGUACCGUCUAGUAUCUGUUGCUAUAGAACCAGUAGAUCCUUUGACAAAAGACAAUGCUGUAGAGAAUUGUACACCGGUUGAGUUGUCCGGAGAACUUUCAAUGCAAAAUGAUGCUCAGCAGACACACAUAAUCACUGGAGAACAUCCUCCAGAAAUCACUGCAUAUUGUCUUACCGAGGAAGUACAAGCUGUUAAAAUGACAGAUGGAUUAUAUGGUAAUCCUUCUGAUUUUGGCACAUUGGGGAAUUCCAUUCCUCCUGACUCUUUCAGCUUUACUCCACCAGAUUUUUAUAACCCUGGGGAUGAAACUUCAACCAAGAAGUGCAUUCUGUCAGGUGAUGCUUCCAGCAGGCAGAAUGUGCCAAAUCAUGCUUCAGGAACCUCCACUGCAGCAAGUGUGUGUCAUUCUGAAUGGGACUCUCUUGACCCAUUGCUGGAUAUCGGUGAUGCUAAUCUUGAUCCUGGUUUUUUCCCGGACAUGGUUGAUGUUGACCCUGGAUCUGAUUAGAAGAUCGGCUUGUGAAUCUUCUACUGGUGUAUUGAGUUAAUUGAGGAAGUUUCCAUUUUGGGAUACAAUAAGGGGGCAUUUGGAAUUCAUAAAGGUUUCAUGUAUGAUUAUGUUGUACAAAUGUGAAGAGAUGAAAUACAGAAAAAAAAAAUCAUGACAAGAAGACCGCCGGUACUCAGCAUGAAUGUGGGAUUCACGGACAUUAGUGCCCAGCAACUUUGUAAUGGUGAGCAGGACGAUGAAUGCUCGUUCAUCAGAGCAAACUGCUCGGUCAUUUCUUGUAUUUUGUUUUCUUUCUAAUUUAAAUGCAUAGAGUUUUUAGUGAACAUAAGGAGUGAUUCCCAUAAUUGGAUAUCUUUGGUGUUUCUGUGUAAGUUCCGCAAUCUGCAUGCUCACAUUUAUUUUUUUGAACGAAUCAUGCUCACAUUUACUGAUCCAGGAGGUUUGCAAUAAGGAUCUGAUGAGAACACAGGAAUUUCAUUGGAAACAAAAGAUAGCUGCAUUUCGUUGUGUGUAUAGACCUACUGCUACAAACUUCAUCCUAGCUUGUGUAUAUGGUGAUCCCUAUCAUAGAAGGACUGCUUUGAUCUGGAAGGAUGUGCUCUCUUUUGUUGAAAAUUAUCCUAAUCUUCCUGCUUUCUGCUUUCUGUAUGGGGGAUCUUAAUAAUGUGAUGCAGUAACGGACCUGUUACUGCGGCUCGUAUGUCUAAUUACUGUCAUCUUGUUAAAGAAUGUGGUUUUAUGGAUUUGGGUUAUAAUGGUCCUGCUUACACAUGGUCUAAUAAACAAUUCAAUGCUAAUCCCACUUUUGAGCGCUGUUUAGGUAAUGCAAAAUGGUGUGCGGCGUUUCCAUCAACUGUUGUCUUUCAUCUUCCAAUGAUUAAGAGUGAUCAUGCUCCUAUUUUGGCAAUUCCACAAGCAAAUAUAACAAACACAAAGAAGCCUUUUGGAUUCGAGAACUAAUGGUUAAUGGAAGAGGACUUUCAGCGGGAGGCUGUGAAUAGUUGGAGAAAAUCCUCCUCUCGUCCUUUUCAUCUGAAAACAAGGUUCUUAGUCUUCUGAUUUGCAAAAAUGGAGGAAGAGAAAACCUAAUCUCAAUUCUCAACUACAAGCAAUUGAAGAGAGCAUUCUCAAAUUAUAGAGUCUCCCUCCUAAUAUUCAGAAUCACUCUUUAGAAAAAGACCUAAUUCAGCAGCAUCAGGUGCUUCUGGACAAAGAAACAGAAUUUCAUAAGCAAAGAUACAAGAAACUUUGGGUUACUGAGAGAGAUAGAAACUCACAUUUCUUCCAACAGGCCAUAUCUAACGAGGUCUUUUACGGUGCACAAUACUACUUUAUACUACCAUUCGAAAAGGACUCGUAUGUAAGGAUCUGACGGUUCAAAUUAUAGUACUAAAAUCUUAAGCUGUAGUAUAGGUAGUAUACAUGAGUAGUAUGGGUGGCAGACGGGUACGUUUGGAAAUAUGUAUAAUGGUAUUGUUAAAAUAUAUCACAUCUUUCUUAAUUAUCCAAUCUUAUAUCCUUGUUUCCUUCACUCCUCGCGUCUCCUCAUUUGCACCUCUCGACUGGCGGCGAUGGCGGCGGCGACUGGCGGCGGUGGGCGGUGGGGGCCGACGGCGGCCUCGUCCACGGAAGCGCAAGAUCCAUCCGAGCCGCCGGAGACUCCGCGCCACAUCCACCUGUCCACGGCGGCCUCUCUCUCUCUCUCUCUCUCUCUCUCUCUCUCGUCGCCGCUGUCAUCGCUUGAAAGGGGAGAAAAGCGGGGAUGGGUUCUUGCGCUUCGGUUCAAAACAAGGAUCCAGGCUUCCCCAAGAAGCAGUUUCUUACGUCGCCCACCAAGGCGAAGGCCGCCAACGGCAAGGGCGGCGGCGGCGUUGCUCCGCUUGGCGAUGGCUUUGGUGAUCUCAAGUCCAAGGCCGAGGGGGAGUAGCAGCGGGCAGGUUUUGGCCCAAAGAGCCCGGAUUCUGGUACGCGUGAUGAAUCUUUGCUUUCUUUGGUUGUUUUCUGAAGUGAGGUCCCGAUCUUUAUCUUUUCAGUCAGUUAUUACUAUAGUUUUGAGAGGAUCUUUGGAAGUAAAUAAGCAGAUGGGCAGUCAGUUCUUUAUAUGAAAAGGGACUUUUUGGGUUCGUUUAUUGAUUUAUUGGGCUGUGGAAGAUUUGAUAGCCAAGUGUAGUGUUAUCGCUGCAUUCAUCUCUUCUGGAGAUCAGUAGCUUCGUAAUUUUGCAGGGGCUGACGAUCUUGAACGGAAAAGGAUAUUUGUUGAUAUACUGACUGAUUUUGGUUUCAUUUAAUGGAGAAGGAGUUAGCUGUUACAAUUUGUUCUUGAAAAUUUAAAGCUUUCUAAAUGACGAUGCUCUCUUCUAUCCAAAGUAGAUUACUCUAUUGACUGAAGGCUUUUUACAGCCUGAUUAUUUCUGUUGUUUCGUUAGGAUGGAGGAGUUUUUUUUUUGUGCGUGUAAAAUUGCUGACUAAAUCCUAAAUUGAAAUGGCACACGGCUUUGUUGAGCAAAUCAAGAUCUUGCCAAUAACCUCUUGAAUAGCUUACUUGCAAUGGGCUGUGCUUCAAUGUUUCUUUCCCCAAAAUCAAUUGCUAGCUCUUGAUGGUUCUGAAUUUCGCUUAGUUGAAAUUGUUCUCUUCACUGAUACACACUCAUAUACCAAGCUGAUUGAAUUUAUCUCUCCACUUAGCUGAAAGUACAAUAACAUGAAUACAGUGACUCUUUUAAUCAAGAGUGCAACUUAUGGAAUUUAAUUUGCAGGAUGAAGUGUUCUUCGAGUCUCGAGCUUGGUUAGAUUCAGACUAACGGUUAACAUGUUUGGUAACCGCCUAAAGAAGCUUCAAUGUAGUUUUUUUCUUCUAUAGUUGUGUUGUGUGCAAUUGUCCUGGCCCAUCAUACUGUGAUUACUUUUGCAACAGUGCUUUAGUUUAUCUUACCAUUCCCUUUUUUAGAUUGUCCUAUUAUUAUAUCAGUAGCAUGUGCAUGUGGAUUGUUCCACUUGUUGCGCGCAAAUUGCAUGUGCUGUGAUAGGUUCUUGAUGAUACAACCUUCGCUGCAGACGGGAAGCCGGUGUCUGAAUCCACAUUCAGCUCUGCUUGCAGCACGGAACCAACGCCGACCGUGGUCGCCAAGAGCCGGAAGGAGAAGGCAUGGUACUCCAGGCUGUUAGGAUCUGAACUGUAACUCUCAUCGAGAGGUUGGCACUAGGAAGAGUUGGGGCAAUUUUCUGGAUUUUCUUUCCACAAUACCAUGUCCAACCAAGGGUUGGGGAUACAUAUUUAUAGCUGGCCAAGCAGCCAACCAGCCAAGCAUCAAGGCAUAUGCUAGUCUAAGAUGCCUUUUUGAUGCUGUCCUAUUUAGUCUAAGAUACCUAGGACUGUCCUACCCUAAAAGUAGUCAACAAAGGUGGUGCUGCAGCAAGCAUAUGCUGCAGUCCCACUGUCCUCUAGUCAACAACAGCUGCAGUCCUAGGCAGGACCAGCAGCACAAGGCCUGGUACAACAACUGAUCCUUGAGGACCAGCAGGACCAGUACAGCAGCUGGUCCUUGAAGACCAGCAGCAAGACAACCAGCAAAGACUUAUCCAGCAUUCUCCCCCUAAGUCUUGUGCGUCGUCUUGUGGGAAAGUUGGACCAUCUCGGUCCUGGAACAGAGCUCAAGGAACUUGAUCCUCCCAAGGGGCUUAGUGAGUAGGUCCGCAAGCUGAUCCUUGGUGUUGAUGUAGCUCGCCUUGAUGCUUCCUUCCUCCAAGCAGCCUCGGAUGAAGUGAUACCUCACCCGAAUGUGCUUGCUCAGCUCAUGAAAAACAGGGUUCUUUGCCAGGGCUAGAGCGGACUUGCUGUCCACCCUGAGCUCCACCGCUCUAGUGUCUCUGCCAAGGAGAUCACCGAGCAGUCGGGCAAGCCAAAGCACCUGAGUCGAAGCAGUGGAGGCCGCGAUGUACUCGGCCUCGCAGCUGGACAGCGCCACCACCUGCUGCUUGACCGACUGCCAGCUAACAAGGCACUUGCCGAGGAAGAAGAGAAUCCCGCUCGUGCUCUUGUUGGUGUCGAUGUCGCCGGCGUGGUCGCUGUCACUGUACCCGACGAAGUGUGCCGCCCCGGGACACCUCGGGUAGAAGAGACCGUGGUCGAGGGUCCCCGCCACGUAGCGGACGAUCCUCUUCACGGCCUGCUGGUGCUCCAUCGUCGGUCGCUGCAUGAACCGACUGACGUAGCCGACGGAGAAUGCCAAAUCCGACCGUGUGUGGGCGAGAUAGCGAAGGCUCCCCACAAGACGCCGGUACUGCGUAGCGUCUACCUCCUCCGUCGUGCUGUCGCGGCUCAGCUUCAGCCUCUCCUCCAUCGGAGUGAGAGCUGGGUUGCAGUUGGUGAGCCCGGCUAGCUCCACGACGCGCUUGGCGUAGGCGGUCUGUCGAAGCGUGAUCCCGGAAUCAUCCUGGUGCACCUCGAUCCCCAGGUAGAAGGAGAGAAGCCCCAGGUCACUCAUCUGGAAGGUGGCCUUCAUUUCUUCCUUGAACGCCGCCACCUCCGCAUCCUUGGUGCCAGUGAUCACCAAGUCGUCGACGUAGACACCCACCAGCAGGGCAUUUUCUCCAUUGCCCCGCCGGUAGAUGGCCGCCUCGUGCGGGCUUUGCUCGAAGCCCAUCCCUUUGAGCGUGGAAUCCAACUUGGCAUUCCACGCCCUCGGAGCCUGCCGCAGGCCAUAGAGGGCCUUGCGCAAGCGCAGCACCUUGCCCUCCUUGCCGGGGAUCGCAAAACCCGGCGGCUGGUGUACGUAGACCUCCUCAUUCAAGUCGCCGUUAAGAAACGCCGACUUGACGUCCAUGUGAUGAACGCGCCAGCCUUCCUAGGCGGCCAACGCAAGGAGGAGUCGCACGGACUCCAUCCGUGCCACGGGGGCGAAAGCAUCAUCGAAGUCGAUCCCCUCUUGCUGCACGAACCCGCGUGCCACCAAGCGAGCCUUGUGCUUGACGAUGGCACCGGCUUCAUCCCUCUUUAGCUUGAACACCCACUUAAGGGUGAUUGCACGGUGACCACGAGGGAGGUCAGCAAGCUCCCAGGUGCGGUUCUUCUCAACCGCGUCCAUCUUUGGCUGCAUCGCAGCGCGCCAUGCCGCGUGCCUCUCGGCCUCCGCGAAAGACCGAGGUUCGCCGUCGUCGCAUGCAAGGUGCAACUGUGCCUCCAAGUCGCGAGGCACCAGUCCUGGCACCGGCUGGUCGCCGAGGAGGUCUUCCAUCGUACGGUACCGCAACUGCUCGCCGUCGUGGUACGCGUCGAUGCGCUCCUCGUCGUGAGAGAGUGGAGUAGCGAACUCCACCAGGCUGUGCUCGACAUGAGCUGGUGUCGAAGUAGGCGUGCUCGGAGGGGUGGCCGUCGGUGCUGGAGUACGUGGCGUCGCCGGCUGUGGUGGUGCCAGCGAGAAUCUCGUCGCAGCCGAAGUCGCGGCUGAAGAGCGUGGCGACGCCGGAGUAGCAAGCGUCGGAGUCGGUGGAGGUUCGGGGACUGGGGUAGGCACGCUCGGCGAAGAAGAGCUGCCUACUCCCCCAGCUCCCUCGAAGUGGACGUACUCGACAGUGAAGUCGUCGUAUGUCGGAGUCGAACCAUCAUCUACCGCCUUGUCCCACGCCCAUCCUCACCCUUCGUCGAACACAACAUCGCGCGCUGUGCGCACACGCUGUGUCUCCGGGUCGAGAAUGCGGUAGGCCUUCGAACCCUCCGCGUAGCCGAUGAACACUCCUGGAGUGCCCCUGUUGUCAAGCUUGCCGAUGUGGCCAAGCUCCUUGGCAAACACGAGGCAGCCGAAGACCCGCAAGUGGGACACUGCCGGCUUGCGCCCAUGCCAAGCCUCGUAUGGCAUCCUGCUGUCGAGCGCCUUGGUGGGCGAGCGGUUGAGGAUAUAGACAGCCGUCACCACAGCCUCUCCCCAGAGAACAGCCGGCAUCCCCCUCUGCUUGAGGAGGGCCUGAGUCAUCCCCACAACCAUCUGGUUGUGCCGCUCAACAACGCCGUUUUGCUGUGGGCUGUACGGCGCGGAGUAGUGGCGCUGAAUGCCCUCAUCAGCGCAGUACGACACGAACUCAGCCGCCGUGAAUUCGCCACCGUUGUCGGUGCGCAGCACGCGCAGCUUGCGGCCACACUCCGCCUCCGCAGCAGCCUGCGUGCGCCUGAUGGCGUUUGCAGCCUCCCCCUUGCUGCCGAGGACCAUCACCCACAUGUAGCGGGAGAGGUCGUCGACGAGCAGCAAGAAGUAGCGUCGUCCUCCAGGUGUGGCCGGUGUCACCGGGCCACACAAGUCCCCGUGCACGAGCUCGAGCCGCUCCUUGGCUCGGAAGCUCGCCUGCUGGGGAAAGGGGAGCCGCCUCUGCUUUGUCAACACACAGACGUCGCAGAACUGCUCCACGUUGACAUGGUAGGCCUCGCACCAUCUCCUUGGCACUGAGCCGCUUCAGGGCCUCGAAAUGAAGGUGCCCGAAGCGCUCGUGCCACUGCCACGCCUUGUCGUCCCGACGAGCAGCGAGGCAGAAGGGUUGUGCCACCUGCACGUUAAGGAUGUAGAGGCGAUUUGUGCCUCUGGUUACCUUGGCAAGAAGGCGACGACGACGGUCCCAAAUCCUCGUGACUCCGUCGUCGAUCACCACGCGCGAACCGUUCUCUUCCAGCUGUCCCAGGCUGAUGAUAGAGUUCCUCAGCGCGGGGAUGUAGUACACUCCGGUGAGCAGCCUGUGCUCUCCAGACUCGGCGGUGAAGAUGAUGGAGCUGACGCCCUUGAUCUCUACGCCGGAGGCAUCCCCAAACUUGACGGUGCCUCGGACGCUAGAGUCAAGCUCGGUGAAGAACUCUCGCCGACCGGUCAUGUGCUGGGUAGCGCCGGUGUCGAGGCACCACCCCUCAGUCCUAUCGUUGCUGGAGCCAUCGCCGAGGAAGGCGUGUGCCCUCGGCUCGUCAAGGUGGAGGAGAACCGCUGCGGCCGAUGCCGCUGGAGUUAGCUUGAUGCUAGCAUGUGCUAGAAGUAGAGCUGGCUCCUCCUCCUCCGCUAGUGCGACGUGAGCCUGGCCACGUCUUGGCUGUCGACAGUCUUUGGCCCAAUGGCCAAGCCUGCCACAGUUGCGGCACGUGUCGUCGCGUGGCGGCCUGUGCUCGCCGGCGGCACCACCCUGGGCGCCUUCUCGCGCGCCGCCAGCACCACCCUAGGCGCCUCCUCGCGCGUCGCCCUCGGCACCUCGUCGAGCCUUGGGCGCCUUGCGUGGCUUGCCGCGCCUGCGGCCGCCUGUCGAGGAAGAAGGCUCCCCCUUCUUCCGAUCACUCUGGCGGGCCUCCCACUGCUCCUGAGUGAAAUGGAGCUUCCCGCCAAUGAUGACAGGCCCUGAGGGAGGCUGUGACUCGUCGCUGUCGACGACCUUGAGGCGACCUAUCGCCUCCUCGAUCGACAUCCUGGAGAGGUCCAGUAGAGACUCGAUCGAGCGAGCGAUCUGCUUGUACUUCUCGGGUACGCAACGGAGGAGCUUCUCGACAGCUCUCUCCUCGCCGUAGGUGUCGUCGCCGUACUGCACCAUCUUCUGCAACAGAGUGUUGAGACGGAGAGCAAAGUCAUCAACGUCCUCACCUGGCUUGAAGGCCAGGUUCUCCCAGUCCUUGCGAAGUGCCUGCAGUGUGGACUUGCGGGCGCGAUCGCUGUCGAUGCGUGCCGCAGCGACGGCGUCCCAAGCCUCCUUGGCAGUCCGCUUCUGGGAAAGCGAGAACUGCAUCUCGGGCGGGACUGCAGCGAUGAGGGCGUCCAGCGCCCGUCGAUCCUCAUCGUAGUCGACGUCGCCGUACCGGACUGCCUCCCACAUGUGCCGCACCUGGAGCCUCACCCUCAUCACCGCGGCCCACUCGACGUAGUUGGUCUUGGUGAGGGUAGGCCACCCACCACCAGGGCCGACUUCCCUGACAACAGCAUGGGCCCCGUGGCGACCAUGACGGCGGUCCGGGGAGGGAGAGCCACGCUGCCUAUAAGGGUCGCGCUCUCCGUCGACCCGGCUGCCGUGCUGCCGAUCGAACUCCAUCUCCGCCUCCAGCUGGGCAGCCCUCUCCCGCAAUCGCUGGACCUCCAGUGCGACGGCGAUGUGCGGGUCGCCCUGGAAGUCGCGGUCACCAUGUCCGCCAGGAACACGGUCGUCGCGCGCGCCCCCGCCUGGAGCGCCGCCGGCGCGUGCACGCCCGUCUGGGCUGCCGCCGCCGCGCCCGCAAGGGUGCUCGGCUGCCCACUGCGCCGCCCGUUCCUGCGCCGCCUCCCUGGCUUGCACGAGCUCUACGUCGGUACCGCCAUCGGCAGAGGUAGCGCUGCUGAUGCUACCGCCGCGUAGAGUCUCGAGCUCCGCUGCCGCCGCACGUGCAGCAUCUACCGCCUCCGCCGCUUCCGCUUCCGCCCUUGCUGCAGCCAGCUCCGCCGCCGCCAGCCUCGACGCCCUUGCCGCCGCCGCAGCGGUCUCCGCCGCCACUCGGGUACGCUCCACUGCCGCAGCGAGCUCGGCCUCCUGCCGACGCCGCGCGCUCGAGGCGACCGAGUGCUGAGACUGUCCUGCGGACAUAGCGCGCCACCGGGGUGCUGCGUGGGGAAGAGGCUGCUUCCGACGAGCUGCCGCUCGUCUGCGUAGAGGGAGAGGAGUGAGCAGGGACAGCCGGUGCUUCUGCUACCGGCUGGGGACGAAAGGUGGCUGGGGAGGGUUGUGAGCAGGAGAUGUUCAAGCUACAGGAUAGUACGGCUCUAAUACUAGUUGUUAGGAUCUGAACUGUAACUCUCAUCGAGAGGAUGGCACUAGGAAGAGUUGGGGCAAUUUUCUGGGUUUUCUUUCCACAAUACCAUGUCCAACCAAAGGUUGGGGAUACAUAUUUAUAGCUGGCCAAGCAGCCAACCAGCCAAGCAUCAAGGCAUAUGCUAGUCUAAGAUGCCUUUUUGAUGUUGUCCUAUUUAGUCUAAGAUGCCUAGGACUAUCCUACCCUAAAAGUAGUCAACAAAGGUGGUGCUGCAGCAAGCAUAUGCUGCAGUCCCACCGUCCUCUAGUCAACAACAGCUGCAGACCUAGGCAGGACCAGCAGCACAAGGCCUGGUACAACAGCUGAUCCUUGAGGACCAGCAGGACCAGUACAGCAGCUGGUCCUUGAAGACCAGCAGCAAGACAACCAGCAAAGACUUAUCCAGCACGGGCGCUGUUGCCUACCGAGCUUUGUUCAUAGCCUGACCUUAGAUGAGAGUGAGAGGGGGCAGAAGAUGAGCUCUAGGCCAUGUGCUGUUUGACAGUGGUGCUCCAGUGCCCCCCUGCCCUGAGCUAUAUUUAGCAUGAUAUAUUGCCCGAUCUGGAUCCUGAAGCUACUGUAAAGAAGCCUGUUCGGUUGAACUUAUAAGCCGGCUGAAAAGCUGAAACGGCUGAUUUGCUGUGAGAGGAAAAUACUGUUUGGUGGCUGAUAAGCCGGCUGAUAAGCUGAAGCGAACAGGCCUGGAGAUAGUUUACUGAUGUACGGUACUUCACUUUUAGUUCGUUUUGUAUUUGGGUUAAAUGUUAAUCUUAAGUUCAUCAAACCUGCUACCUACAACAGGGCUCAUUUUGAUGUAAGUAAACUAUCAGAAUAACUGUUAACCUCCCUGAGUACUCCAACCGAUUUGAUUAUAUGAAUUUAAUAUGAAUUGUGUCAAAGUAAUUUUGGUUGAAUCUGUAACUGUAGGUGUUCUAGUUGUAGGACACAUGUUUGUGUAUGUGUUUUUAUCUAAUAUUUUCUUAUAAAACUUUUGCUUAAUCUGCAGCCAAGAUUUUAAGCAUGAAGUCAACUUGCUAAUGAAGCUGAGACAUCCUAAUAUUGUCCAGUUCCUUGGAGCAGUUACAGAAACCAAGCCUCUAAUGCUAGUUACUGAGUUUCUACGAGUAUGUAUUUUGUGUCGCAGUUCAACUAUCAUUUUGUGUGUAACAUAGAUUAACCAUUCACACAAAAAAGUUACACCUGUUCGCUCUAGUGCUGUGUACUAUCGUGAAUAAUUGGGGAACUACAAUAGCUUCUUUCUCUCGAAGUAAGUCUUCAGGUGCCACAGCUGCAAGCCUGCCACUGAUAAGCAGAUGCCGAGCGAGAGGAACCCGAGCCAAGCCAUCCUCGAGUGUGUUCGCCUGUUCAGGUCCUGCAUUUCCUCCUCCCUGGACACAUGACAUGGCCACAAUGUGAUACAGGAAAUGCUUUGCCAACGUUAGUUUCAAUGUUGCCAGUCAUAGUCGAUACUACGUACUACUUUCGCGGAGAUAAAACAUUUCUUCAUGUAUAUUUUUGAUGGUUUCCUCUAGCUUCUUCAGCUCUAAUUCCAUCAUUUGCAGCAUACAAGCAACAACACAUGCAUAAACAGAGGUACUAGCUAUAAGAAACAACAUGCAAAAAGCGCUGUAGGCACCAUUCUCACAAAACAAGACAAAUAUGUCAAUUCGAAGAAAUGAUUACGAGAUCCUAUAAGUAGUGUUGGCACAGCUAACAGCGAACCUGAGGAGCAAAGACUAGAUGAUAUAGCAAUAUAAAUGAGGCAAAAGAUGCCCUUCUGUAUCUAUAUUCCCUUCUAAUAUUACAUAAACAAUUGUGUGAAAAAGGAAAUGUACAAUAUACCUCUUAAGGCCCUCCUCGAUCCCUGCUGGGUUAACAGCCUUGUAAAAUGCAUCCCAGGUGCACCACCCAAACCAGUCCAAAUUUGCAGGGAUCUGAUAUUCGUGAUAUAUUUAAGCAAUACAUAAGAAAAACAGAAUGAGCAAAAGCUGCCGAGACUUGACAACAUCAACAAAUUAGAUGAUAUAGGCAUAAAAAAACCUGCAUAGAGUUACCUCCUUGUCCUCAAUAUGCUUGAAGUUUCCUUUGAUCUUUGAUAGCAACCUGAAUAAAGCUACAAGUGAGAACAAAAAUCUUUUUUUUAUUACAUUUAAAAGUAUGAGCAUGACAUUACUUGAUGGAUUCCUUCAUUAGCUUGAAUGGAUUAUCCCCUGAGUUGAUGAAUACCGCAUCAGCUGCUUCCAUCGUCUGGACCUCAGGAUCACCUACCAAGAGUGAACAGUACACCAUUUUCCCUCUCAGAAACUCUUGCCAAAAUGACAAACUUCGCACAAUCUAUUCGAUCAAGUACUUGAAAAUUGAAAUUCAGUAGGUCGCAGCAGACAAGGCUCACCGCUCUCCAAGCACAACUGGAGCUCGUUCUCAGGGCUCCCCUGAAGGCUGACCCUGAAAUCGCCGUCAAGAACCGGCAGCAUCAGUGCAUACACCGCACCCCCCCUCCGCGGCAGCGCAACCCUCCUCAUCCCUGGACUCUAUGAGCAGCAUCUGCGUCUCCGCAGGCACGGCCGCGGCGCUGGCGCCGGUGGCUGGGACCAUCCACCAGAUCUUGAACCUGAACAGGGACAACCACCUCCACCCGCUGCGCAGCCACCGAUCCAAGAACGAAACCCUAUCGGUCACAAUCGAAUCGGCGGCACAGGGUCGCGCCCCGGCGCGUGCCAGGCGACGGCAGGCUUACCUUGCCAGGGUGCCGAUGGGGAACACGUGGCGGCUGGAUGGCGCCGCCGCCUUGGCGUCGAGGAACAUGGGCGGUGGUGGCGCGUCGGACGGGGCGGCGUGCGGGCGGGUGUGCGCGGCGGGACUGGCGGCGCGCCGUGCGGGUGGUGGCGGGCGGGUGCGUUGUGAGAUCGGGAAAAUGGGUGCGGAAAAAAAUUCUCGAAUAAGAUAUGUCAUGCUAAUUACAAUUUUACCCAUAUCAAAAAUAGCUUAUACUCUAUACUACCACUUGGUAGUAUUGUGUCCCGUAAAAGACCUCUACUUAAGAGGGCUAGAAGAAACAGGAUUCUAUUCCUUGCAGAUGAGUUUGGAAAUCCACUAACAACUCAAGAUCAGAUUGCCUCUUGUUUCAAUAACUACUUCAGAAAUCUGUUCACAAGUCAAGUUCAUCAACAUCAGUUACAUUAUCUACCACAGCAAAACAGGGCACAGGAAGAUUUAGAUAAUGACUUCACUAGCUCUAUUCCAGAUAAAGCUUGAGUUAUGGGAAUUAUUAAGAACAUGAGGAAGGAUGCAGCACCAGAUCCCGAUGGAUUUCAAUGUUGCCUCUUUAUAGAGCAUCUUGGGAUUGGAUUGGUGAUGAUGUUGUGAAUCUUGUUUAGGCACAGGUAUGCUUCCACCUGAUCUCAAUGAAACGUUCAUUGUUCUUAUCCCUAAGAAGAAUGCUCCUGUGCUUUCUCAGGAUUUCAGACCGAUUAGUCUUUGCAAUGUUAUUUACAAGAUUAUAGCUAAAAGCUUAGCUGAUAGAAUUAAGCCUUUCUUUCCUAAUAGAGUGCAUUUAGCUCAGUCUGCUUUUAUUCCUGGUAGACACAUUUCUUCUAAUAUUAUCAUAGCCCAGGAAAUUACUUACUCUUUUAGUCUCAAUUCUUGGAAACAUAAAGGCUUUCUUCUCAAGAUUGAUUUAGCUAAAGCUUUUGAUAGAAUAGAAUGGAGUUUUAUUACUAAUGCUAUGCAUAGGAUUGCUUUACCCUUGCAGGUUGUUAAUCUAACUAAAGCUUGUAUAUCCACCCCGGAUUUUUCUGUUCUUGUUAAUGGUCAGCCUUCUGCUUCUUUUCUUUCUAAAAGAGGAAUUAGACAGGGUUGCCCUUUAUCUCCCUAUCUUUUUGUUCUGGCCAUGAAUGAACUCUCCCUCACUCUUCAAACAGCCUUGCAGAACAAUAACCUGUCUGGUAUUUCCCUUGGCCAAAACUGUCCACCCAUUCAUUCCUAGCUGUUUGCUGAUGAUCUUCUUAUCUGUGGCAAGGAAACUAUACCUGAGGCUUCUAAAAUUAGGUUUAUCCUUCAUAGUUUUUGCCAAGCCUCUGGUCAGACUCCUAAUUGGGCCAAAUCAUCCAUUCUUUUUAGUAAACAUGUUGAUGCCUACACCAAACAAGAAAUUCAGAACCUUUUCCUUGUUCCUAUGAUGACCUCACACACGACUCAUCUUGGUCAUCCUAUCAUUUUCUCAUACAAAGGCAGAGCCCAAGCUUACAAUUUCAUCUUUAACAAGUUUAGAGCUAAACUGACUGGGAUCAAGGCUAAUAAACUUAAUCAUGCAGGAAGAAUAACUUACAUUAAUUCUGUGCUGGCUUCAAUUCCUAUCUAUUAUAUGCAGAAUAUUUUGUUCUCCAGAACUUUUAUUGGGAAGAUAAAUUUCAUCCUUAGACGUUUCUGGUGGCAAGGUGUACAGGAGGAGGAUUCUACUAAACCUUUUUAUUUCCGAUCUUGGGAGGACAUUUGUCAAACAAAGUCAGUGGGUGGUCUUGGUAUAAGAAAUCUUUACACUGUUAAUAAGAGCUUAGUUUUACAUUCUGCAUGGCUUAUUGCUUCCAACAACGAUCCUUUCCUUUCAGCUGUUUUAAAAGCUAAAUAUUUUCCAAACACUAUCUUUUGGAGAGUUGCAUGCUAUGGAACCAGGUCUGCUUUUUGGUCUUCUAUUAUGCAGGUUAAGCAUCAUCUUCAGGAACAGUGUGUCCUACAGAUUCACAAAGGUAACUCCAAUAUCUGGACUGAUCCCUAGUUUGAUAAUUGGGAGAGUAUCCACACCCAUUUGAAAAAUCCCCACAUCCAAAGACAGCUUCCCAGCAUUGUUUCAGACCUGUGGAAUCAUCAGCAGUCCUCUUGGAAUGUUGAUAUGAUCAAUUCCACUUUCCAUCAGCAAGCUGCUGAUUCUAUCCUUCAAAUGGCAAAGGUUUCUUCAAAUUCUGUGGAUACUUUGUGUUGGAAACCUUCUGUCAAAGGAACUUGUACCACCAAAGAAACCUACAAGUACCUGACUGCUCAAACUUCCUUUUCUUUGCCUAGUCAGGGUCCUCACUCCAUUUCUUUGGAUGCUCUUUCCAUCCUGAACAAGGUAUGGAACCACCAAACCAUUCCUCCUAGAAUCAAAGCCUUUUCUUGGAGGCUUAUCAGAUACUCUCUUGCUACUGGUCAUAGAGCUGCUAAUCUUAGUUCAAGAAUUGAUAACACUUGCAAAGUUUGCGGUUCCAAUGAAACUUACUUUCAUCUGUUUUUUAGUGUGAUUUAGCUAGAGUUGUUUGGUUCUCUGCAGCUAUCCCUUUGAGAACAGAUCGCCUUUCUCCGGAGCUUGAUGGUCUUCAAAGCACCUUAGCUUCAGUCAUUUCAAAUACUGUUUCUGAUGAUCUCUUGCAGGAAGUCUUCACUAGGCUGUGGUGUCGGUGUUUUAGACCGGCAACCCGCCUAGGGGUACCCUAGGUGGUCUUUUAUGCGGUAAGGGUCGUCGAGAAUCAAGGAAUCAAUGGUGACACAAGGAACAUGAUUUAGACAGGUUCGGGCCGCUAGAUCGCGUAAUACCCUACGUCCUGUGUGUUGGUUUGUAUUGAUGUAUGUUCUGGUCGUGAGGAUUGUUCUUUGAGGGGGGGUCCCUGCCCGGCCUUAUAUACACGGGAGGGCAGGGUUACAAGUCUGAGUCCUAGUCGGGUACUAUUACAGAGUUCUACUCGGUAUCAGUCCGAGUAGUUUUCCAUAAACAUACAAGACUAGUCCGAGUAGGAUACGCCCAUCCUUGUUCUGAUCAAGUCCGAGUACGUCCCUUAGUGGGCCGUCCAAGGCCUACUCGUGGGUCUGGGGAGUAGUCCCGACAAGCCCCUGAGUACUUUGUAGUCAUGCGCCAUAGUCUUGGGCACUGCAGGCACUACCCGAGUAGUUUUGCGGACUGAAGUGCUCGAGUACUGUCGCGUGGCUGGAAGGUACUCUUUCUGCAGCUUCGAGUUGUCUCUGUUCCUGAGUAAUUUUAUAUGGUAGUGCGAUGUCAAUCGCACUCCAUAUAGAGUAGCCCCCGAGCCUUAGGUUGAGUCGAAGAAUCAGGCUUAGGGUCAAACCAACUUUUGUCCAUUUUACCCUCGGAGAUCUUGAAAAAGAAAAAACUGGCCAACGGGUACAGUACCCGCAGCCCCCGAGCACUUAGGCGAUUCUUGUCGUUGAAGUGGUCAUCGAUCCGUUGAAUGUAGUAACCGUUGGGUGUUUAUUACGAUUAAUACGUGAUUUAAUCUAUCCGUUGCGCAACUAACGCGUCGAAUCCGGAGCCGGCGGAGAUAAAUCUGGAAAGGCCCCUUUUCGGUUGCUGUGACGCCGCAGGGCAUUAGAUCUGUUUUUCCUCCUCCUCUGUGCCUUCGCUCGCUUUUUCGCCGCCGCCAGUGCCGCCGCCUCCGCCAUUGCCGGCACAUCCGAGUGGAAGCCUCUUCCUUAACUUGAGGUUGAGUCCAUCGGAUGCGCUCCAAGAAGAUGGGCAAGAAACCCGAGAAGAUCCAAGGCAAAGCUCCGGCGAUGGGCAAGGUCAGAUCUAUGAAGGGGAAGGAGUUGGUGCUGCCGGCGCCGAAGGUGGGGCCGAUGAACCAGACUGCUCCGCCGCCACCGGAGGCAACUUGGCAACACUCGGUGAUGAAGGAAGAAGCAGUCCAAGCGCUAGUCGAUGCCAAGCUCCUUCAGCCGAAGGAAAUCGUGCAGUGGCACCCCGCAUUUCCCAAUGCGUGGCAGUUUGAGGAACAUCCGGCGGAGACGGUGAUGCUUGCUCACUUCGUGGAAAGAGGACUGGCCGUGCCUACCUCCGACUUCUUCAGAGGUAUUCUCGAGUACUACAACCUUUAGCUCAUCCAUUUGAAUCCCAAUGGAGUACUCCACAUGGCUAUAUUUGUACAUCUGUGCGAAGUUUUCCUAGGAGUACCUCCAAGUCUCAAGCUAUUUAGGAAACUGUUCCGUUGCAAGCCUCAGCUGAGUGCCCAGUGGACGGAAGUCUUUGGAGGUGCCGGGUUCCAACUCAGAAACUCGAAUGCAUAUAUUGAGUAUAAUCUGACCGACUCCCAUGGGGAUUGGAAGAAAAGGUGGUUCUACAUCGGGAACCAUGAUCCUCGCUUGCCUGUGGUGACUGGUCACGCGCCCAAGCAUGCGGAAAAUUGGAUAGGCGAGCCCGAGGACACCCCGGAGCUUGAUCUCCAGAUGCAGCAGAUCACCGAGUUGAAAGCACUCGGUCUGACUGGGAUCAAUGUGGCAGCCAGCUUCCUGAAGAGAAGGGUCUAGCCACUUCAGAAACGUGCUCACCCGGGAAGUGAGUACAGAGGUCUGAAGGAUCCAUCGCGUAUGUCUGAGGAGGACAUAUCUGAUGAUGACGUGGAGGCACUGCUGGUUAAAAUUUUGAGGAAUUAUCAGGGAGUACCAGUAAUCCCUGCAGCCCUUCGCCAGUAUGAAUCUUGGUACGAGCCAGAGGUGGUAAGUAUUUCCCUCCUGAAUUGUUUUCUUUUGACUUUGUGAUUCUUGUUGCUGACACCAAUUUGUUGUUUAGAAGUCCCGAGUACUUGACGGCUAUGUGGCACAGUCGGAAGAAGAGUCAGAAGCCGUCGUUGAGGAGUCGGAGGAUGAGCCUUCUCCCCUUGUCAAGAGACGCAGAGUUAUCCGCAAGAUGGCUGCUGCUAAGUCUGCUUCAACCACUGAGAAGUCUCGGGGUACCAAGGUAUGUAGUCGAUAACUUGUAUGUUACUGAGGAGCUUGAAAUGCGUCAUUGAUGUGGUAAAUCUUGACUUGGUUCGCGAAGGCUGUAGAUGAGGCUGUUUCUGAAGAGAUAGCUGUGUCCGACCCUGAAGUCGGUGAUGCGACUGUUGACACAGUGCCGGAGAGGGUACCAUCAACAGAAAUUGUGGUAGCCCCCGAGUUAACUGCGCCAACUCCUCCGGCUGCCAUGCCGCCCAUUGCCGACCAAGCGGUUCUGGGGCUGUCUGCUGGAGUAGCGAAGGAGGUGUCACCAGUACUUGCUACUGGCACCUUACUGUCCAACGUGAUCGCCAGUGGUAAGCGUUGUCUCUUCCGAUUGUCUUCAAUUGAGUAGUACUGUUGGUCUUUGACUUUGAUUUUGCAGGUCUUGGUGAAAAAACAGUGCCGGCGACUGUUUUCGCGGCUCCUGGUACUCAGCCGACUGUCGCUGAGAAGAAGCAUGUGCGACUGCCGCCACGUUCAACCCGGUGAGCCUCCUUGUCUUAUUGGAUGCCGUUGAGUUUUCUCAAAACCACGUAGUGACACUUCGUCGGUGCAGGGAUACAGAGGAGACUAUCCUUGGAGAGACAGGGAUAGUGCCGAAACCUUUGACUACAGCAUCUGUUCCGCUGGAGGACUUCAUUGUUGAAGAAAUACCCGAGGUUGACCCCGGUCGUCUUGGAGCUACGAUGUCGAUGCUUCAAGACGUGAUUCGCUCAGUGGAGGAACCUGCUGCUGCAUCAGGCUCGGGGAGUGCCAGCCUAUCAUCAUCCUCUGGCGAAGCGCUGGCUGUGGUUGAGAAAUCCAAACAAACGACUACUCCAGGUAAAUGCCUAUAAUUUGUUAUUGUAGUCGUAGUUGAUAGCUGACAUGGUAAAUGUUGUAGGUGCUGCUCUGGGUACAAUCCCUCAUCUUGCGGAGAGUACCCAAAGGCCAGUACUCAGCCCGCCUUCUGACUUGGAGCUCCAGAGGGCCAUGGAUGUGUUCCGGGGCGUCCAGGUAGAUAUUGCUGAUGUUACUGCAUGACCCGAGUAGUCAUGAGGCGUAAAAACUCACCACGGCAUACUCGGAUCUUUUCAGGAAAGAAAUCAUUAGCUGGAGCAGGAAUGCGCCCGACUGACAGAAGCGCUUCGGGUUCAUGAAGUCGGAGCGAAGUCCUUUACCGUGGAACGCGCGGAUCACGCCGUUCUGCAGGAGAAACUGGAGAGCCGCUACAAGUCCUUGAACAAGAAGUAUCAAGGUAAGCAUUGCGACUUCGUUGGGUGUGUCCAACUGUAGUUGGUUGUGGCCUGAGUUCUUUUGCUUUGUAGAGCUCAAGGAGCAGGAGGCGUCUGCAAGGAACCAAGUUACUGAUUGGAGGAACGCCCAUGACCGAGUGGCAGAUGAAGCCGAGCAUCUUCGGGCCGCGCUCUCUGAAGCACAAGCUGCGUGCGAGCAUCAGCGGGACCGAAAGAUGCAGAAUGGCGUGAUGCUCGCCAUGGCCAUGGUGGCAUGUAGAGAUCAUGCCUAGACCUUGGGAAGACUUUGGGGCGAACUCCGAGAGGUGUCUGGAGCGGCCGAAGACUUGGUGAAUGCCAUAGCCCCCGUGGAGGAAAGCGCAGGACCGCAAUCGCUAGUAGAGCGACUAAGAGCUGCCCCGAGUAAAGUAGCGGGAGUUUGCAAGACUGUUUGCAAACAGGUGCUUGCGGUUGUGAAGUCCUACUACCCGAGGGCAGACUUGGCGACAGCUGGUGAUGGCGUGGCUCGCAACUGCACAGAGGAGGCCUAUGCGCAGUACCUUGAGGAGGCAGAGCCCAUUGCAGCCAAGAUGUCGGAGUUCGUCUCCUUAGAAGAACUUUGAAUUGUUUGUGUACUCUUAUAUUUGAAUACAUUGAUAUUUUGAAAUGUCGAGCCUUUUGGAUUUGUUGUCGUUGUCUUGCAAAGAGUAGUUGUUGUUUACUCCAUUUUGUCUAAACUUGAUGUAUUGCAACUCUGCUGUGCCCGACCCCCUGGGGAGGGGAUUUAUCUCACUUGACCUUGAGGUUUGGGGUCGGCUGCGCCCGACCUUGAAUUCUGGGGUCGGCUGAGCCCGACCCUCUGGAAGGGCAGUUCCACCUCGCCCGACCUCGAGUGAAGCUCCGCCUCGCCCGACCCCGAGGCCUGGGGUCGGCGGAGCCCGACCCUAUGGAAGGGUAGCUCCGCCUCGCCCGACCCCGAGGGAGGCUCCGCUUCGCCCGACCCUGAGUCCUGGGGUUGGAGUAGUCGAAACCCCCGAUAUGUAGGCUAAGCUUGGCUUGUAGUAGUCCCGAGUGUCGAGUAGUCGUAAUGUUGUUUGAGUACUCGUCUUCAGAGGGACACGGGUGUACUGUACUCGGCUGUCCUUUGAUGUACGAGUGUAUUGUGCUCUGUUGUCCUUUGCGGAGGCACGAGUGUACUGUGCUCCUUUGUCUGUUGCAGCAUGAGUGCAGUCACAUGGGCAGAGUCAGGAGUUGUCAGACUCAUUGAUCACGGGUGCACAGUAACUCUUGGGCUGGUGGUAGUUGUGGCUUUCGUCUAUAAAUAGGGCCAUCUGCUGGUCGAACCAACUCAAGCUCCUGAGUAGCAAUGGAUUGCCUGCGGUUGCUUCUGUUUGAGUGUAGAGAGCCAGCAAAGAGCACACCGGUGCUAGAAGAUUACUCGUAGAUUAAGGCCACCUUGCCUCCACAGACUCUUGCGCUCGUAGGGAUAGCCGCGAUGCUAGAAGAAUCCUCGUAGGAGGGUUCAUCAAUUACCUCAUCUUGCAGCUACUGAUCCAGCGGAGUACGCGCUGGAGCUCGCAGCGAGUGAUGGGUGAUGAGUGCCGCGGUCUUCAUCUCGCUCUGAAAGAUGGUGGAGGUGCGGCCGUAGAGUAGAUAGGCUUCGCAAGGCUAGCAAAAGAGCAGCCUUGGUUCCCUCUAGGCGCGUCUUGCCGGAUUUGACGUUGCCGCUGUCCUGGUGAUGGCGGUAAUGGAGUACCUGGACGUGCCUUGGGUAGGAUACCUGGGUGUGGCUGCAUUUUGCGCAGCUUCCUUGCAUGUAGGCCCUUCCUGCGGUUGGCAGACCUGAGUGGCGUUGUGAUAUAGUAAAAGCCUGAGGCUUAAAUGCAGCCCGCCAGUAGGCAGUUGCUUGUAGUCUUUGUUGAGCCGAGUCCUUGUACUCGUAUGUAACUUGAUGUACUCUUGUUUCAGUAAAGAUUGAUAUGAAGAGUUUGUAUCAAGGCAAGUUUCCUUGUUGUAUUGAUAGCGCGUUGAGGCGAAGACCCCUUGAAGUCGGUAGUCGAGUAGUUGUCCCGAGUAGUUGCCUUGAAGUGAGUACUCGAGUGCUGUUAUGGGUAAUAGCGACAAAGGUGUUCUAUAUUCCAGGAGUUUGGCACCUGUUCUCCUGAAAGCUCUUGGAGUCUUAGAUCCGGGUCCUGUAACCUUUGAUAUGAUGUAAGGACCUUCCCAUGGUGAAUUGAAUUUAUGUAAUCCAGACGUGUCUUAAAUACGCUUAAGGACCAUAUCGCCCGAGUUGAAAGAUCUUUCCUUGACGUUGCGGUCGUGAUAACGCCUUAAACCGUCAAGGUAUCUGGUAGAUUGCACGAGUGUUGCGCAUCUUGUUUCUUCCAAAUUGUCGAUAUCCGUUCGCCGCGUUUCUAUUGCAAGCUCUUCGUCGUAUUGUUCAACGAAUGGUGAUUGCCACAUGAUGUCGGCGGGUAGUAUGGCUUCUGAGCCAUAUACCAGAAAAUAAGGUGAUAGUCCCGUAGUCUUGCACGGUUGGGUACGCAGGCCCCACAAGGCAUUAGGUAACUCUUUGAGCCAUCGGCCGCCUUUGGUGUUGCCGACGUCAUGUAGUCGUUUCUUCAAAGCAUCGAGUAUCAUGCCAUUAGCACGCUCGACUUGACCGUUGGCUCGCGGAUGAGCAACCGAGACAUAGCGGACGUCGAUGCCACUGUUCUCGCAAUAUUCCCAGAAGUCGUGAUUGUUGAAGUUUGACCCGAGAUCUGUGAUAAUCCUGUUGGGAAAACCAUAGCGAUGUACGAUUUCAUCCAAGAAGUCGAGGACUCGGUCCGCUUUUAGGCAAGUGACUGGUUUGACCUCGAUCCAGUUGGUGAACUUGUCAAUUGCUACGAGUACUCUGUUGAAUCCUCCUGCCACAGUUGGUAAUGGGCCAAUCAUGUCGAGCCCCCAGCAGGCAAAUGGCCAUGUUGGAGGUAUUGUGACUAGCUUGUAAGCCGACACAUGUUGCUGUUUUGUGAAGAAUUGACAACCUUUGCAUUUCUGGACUAGUUGCUUGGCGUCGGCCAGAGCCAUUGGCCAGUAGAACCCUGCUCUAAAAGCCUUGCCAACUAGAGUCCUUGAAGAGGCGUGGUUGCCGCAGAUUCCUCUGUGAAUCUCUUCUAGGAUUUCUUGGCCAUCUUCUCUGGUGACGCACUUCAUGAGUACUCCAGAUGAUGCACCUUUCUUGUAGAGCUUGUCUCCGACUAGAACAUAAUUCUGUACUAGUCGGGAGAUUUGCUCAGCUUGAUUCUUGUCGGAUGGUAGCUGGUGAUCUUCGAUGUAGUCGAUGAAGGGUGUCCUCCAGUCGACUUCCAUCAUCAUGAUCUCUCGAGAGGCAUCAGUAGUCGGGACUACUGGUGGUGUGACCUGUUCAGGUAUGGAUGGCUUGCGUAGUUCAUGUACGAAAAUUUUGUUGGAACUUCUGCACGAGUUGAGCCCAUUUUGGAUAAGACGUCGGUGGCAACGUUGUUGUCGCGGACGAUGUGAUGGAACUCCAAGCCGGAGAAUUUGUUUUCGAGUUUACAGACUUCUUUGCAGUAAGCGUCCAUGUUGUCCUUGUUUCGGUCCCACUCGUCAUUGACUUGGUUUAUGACAACUAGGGAGUCGCCGUACACCAGUAGUCGUUUGAUGCUGAGGAAGAUCGCAAGGUGAAGGCCGUGUAGCAGUGCUUCGUACUCGGCUUCGUUAUUGGAUGCUUCCCAGAAUAUCUGCAGCACGUACUUGAGCUGGUCUCCCUUGGGGGAGAUGAGUAAGACACCUGCGCCGGCCCCUUCAAGUUUGAGGGAUCCGUCGAAGUACAUUACCCAAUGCUCGGGUCGUUCGACUGGAGUAGGAACUUGAUUUUCGGUCCACUCGGCUAUGAAGUCGACCAAAGCCUGAGACUUGAUGGCUGUCCUUGACUUGAAGCUCAAAGUAAGAGCUCCGAGUUCGACUGCCCAUUUGGAGAUUCUACCCGUGGCAUCUCUGUUAUGGAGAAUUUCGCCAAGCGGGAAGUCGGAGAUGACUGUGAUGUUGUGCUCUUGGAAGUAAUGGCGCAGCUUCCGGGAGGUGAGCAGAAUAGCAUAUAAUAGCUUUUGUAUCGGUGAAUACCGAGUUUUGGAGUCCGAGAGUACUUCACUAACGAAGUAGACAAGUUGUUGGACCUUGUAAGCGUGGCCCAGUUCAGACCGUUCGACUACUAUUGCCGUGCUGACGACAUGAGUAGUAGCGGAGAUGUAUAGGAGCAAGUUCUCGUUCGGCGAGGGAGCGGUGAGUACAGGAGGCUUUGAUAGAAAGUCUUUGAGUUGUGUGAAAGCCUUAUCUGCCUCUUCCGUCCAUUUAAACUUGUCCUGGCGUUUGAGAACCUUGAAGAAGGGUAGACCCCGUUCUCCAAAUCUCGAGAUGAACCGGUUGAGAGCGGCCAUGCAGCCGGUGGGUUUCUGCACAUCCUUAAUGCUGGCUGGUGCCUGCAUGUUUGUGAUGGCAGAUAUCUUCUCCGGGUUGGCCUCAAUGCCGCGAUGGCUAAUGAUGAACCCGAGUAAUUUGCCGGAGGGUACUCCGAAGACGCACUUAGUGGGAUUGAGUUUCCAUCGAAAAGUGCGGAGACUGGAGAAAGUUUCCUCCAAGUCGGCAAUGAGUUCCUCCCGGUGUCUUGUUUUGACGACGACGUCAUCAACAUAAGCUUCGACAUUGCGAUGAAGUUAUUUUUCAAAGCACAUUUGUAUGGCCCUUUGGUAAGUUGCUCCUGCGUUCUUGAGUCCGAAGGACAUUGUUUUGUAGCAGAAAGCUCCAAAGGGCGUGAUGAACGCUGUUUUGGCUUGAUCUUCCUCUUUGAGGCUUAUCUGAUGAUAGCCGGAGUAGCAAUCGAGGAAGCAUAGCAAGGCGCACCCAGCGGUGGAGUCGACCACUUGAUCGAUCCUGGGUAGCCCAAAAGGAUCUUUCGGGCAGUGUUUGUUGAGGUCGGUGUAGUCGACGCACAUUCUCCAUUCGUUGUUUUUCUUAUGAACGAGCACAGGAUUGGCGAGCCAGUCAGGAUGGAAGACUUCCUUGAUGAAUCCUACCGCGAGUAGCUUGGCUAACUCUUUUUUGAUGGCUUCGCGUCUGUCCUGAGCAAACCAGCGUAGUCGUUGCCGUUUUGGAGUAGCUUUGGGACCAACGUUGAGGGAAUGCUCGAUCAGUUCCUUGGGCACACCUGGCAUGUCGGCCGGCUUCCAAGCGAAGAUAUCGUGGUUAGCCCGAAGGAAACUGACGAGCACGAGUUCCUAUUUAGGAUCCAGCCCCGUUCCGAUCAGGGCUAUCUUGGAAGGAUCACCGGUCUGGAGGUCGAUCGAUUUGAAGUCUUGCUCACUGGCGGGUUUCACCUUUGUGGAUCCCGACUUGUUUUCCGGGAUCUCCAGUUCAGUUGGAUGGAGUUUCUUUGAAGCUUUGAAGACUUGCUGCAUGGGACUGGGAGAUUGAGUAGUCGCAGCAAUUUACACGGCUUCGGUGUCGCACUCGUAGGAUCUCCGGAGAUCUCCUCGUAGCGUGAGCUCUCCUUUGGGACCUGGCAUCUUGAGUACCAGGUAGACAUAAUGUGGUCUGGCCAUAAACUUGGCUAGUGCUGGCCGUCCGAGUAUGGCGUGAUAAGAAGUCUCGAAAUCAGCGACCUCGAAUCUGAUGUACUCGGUGCGAUAAUGUUCCUUAGUUCCGAAGGUGACGGGAAGGACCACUUGCCCCAAUGGUAUGGCCGCGUUUCCGGGCACAAUGCUGUAGAAAGGUGAAUCUGUUGGAGUAAGCAUGUCCGUGACGUCGAGGCACAUUUUCCUUAAUGUUUUGGCGAAGAUAACGUUGAGGCCGCUCCCGCCAUUGAUGAGUACUUUGGUUAACUUUGAUCCUACCACGACUGGAUCCAAGACUAGUGGAAAACGGCCGGGUUCUGAAAAUUUCGUCCAUUGAUCUUUUCUGCUAAAAGAAAUUGGAACUUCUGACCACUUUAGUGGUGUGGGGUCCGUCGGCUCGAUGGCCAUGAUCUCCCUGAGUACGAGUUUGUUGGCUCGCUUGGAUGCCGUGCCAGGGAUGCCACCAAAAAUGACGCUGACGGUUUUUGAGGCUGGUUGGAAAUCGCCGUCUUCAUCUUUGUCGUUGCGGGCUUUGUUUUUGCCCUUGUCUCUAUUUUUGGCGUACUCUUUAGGAGUUGGUGGUGCUGGCAAGUCUUGCAUGACUCGGCGCAUGCUGUAACAGUCCAAUGCGGAGUGCUUGCUAGUCGGGUGCCAUGGACACUGCUGUUUGAGUAGCUCCAUGAAGGUUGGUCCGUCGUUGUUUCUGUGCUGUCCCUUUUUCCCGGAGCUGGUCAUGGCAGCAACAGUGUUAUCGGGCUUCCUUUUGCGGUUGUGAUUACCUGGAUAGGAGUUCCGAGCAUCGUUAUGAUGAGUUUUAUCUGUGUCAUUAUUGUGGGUGUUGUCGCGUCCGCGGUUACGGUGGGAACCGAACCGUUUGCGUUCUUUGUCUUCUUCAUCGGCCCACUGUUGCACCAUAAGUUUGAGUUCUUUGACAUCGGCUGGCCGUCGGCGACCGAAGUCUUGGUAUGUUCGUUGAUCAUAGAGUCCGUUUUGGAAACACUCGAUGACAUCUGCUUCGGAGAUGUCUACUAUGGUAGCCUUCUUUUCGAAGAACCGUCGUAGAUAGUCGCGCAGGGUUUCGCCCUCUUUCUGCUUAAUCUGUUGUAAGUCGAUCUUGUUGCGUGGUCUAGCCAUGGAACUAGCGAAGUUGUUGGUAAAAGCCUUUGUCAAUUCCGCCCAGGAGUCGAUGGACUUGGGUUUGAGUGACUCGAGCCAGGUCAAUGGUGCGGGUUCCAUGCAUAUGGGGAAAUGAAUGACUUUGGUGUCGUUGUUGCCUCCGGUUGCUUGGACGGCUAGCGAGUAACAGCGGAGCCAUUGAACUGGGUCUUGCUUGCCAUCGUACUUGGUAAUGCCGGUCGGUUUGAACUUUUUGGGUAAUUUUGUUUUCAUUACCCGAUUUGUGAAAGCAGAAAAGUGGUUGUAGCUGUCGACUUCCCGUUCGCGCCGACUGUUGAGGAUUUCUUGUAGAUCACUGAUGUUGGAUAACUUGCGGUUCUUUCGAGUAGGAUGAACACUUUUAACCGAGUUGGUGCAGCUGGCUUCUCCCACAUCCUUCUGUUGAGUAGGAGCUUUAUGCUUGCUUGGACCUUGGCUGUGUUGCCGGGGUUGGUUGACUGCAUCAUCGUUUCGUGGGGCGACAUUUUUAUCUGCAGCCCCCCUGCUUCCGUCUGUAAUGCGAGGAACGGACGGGAUUGGUGAUUCUUUGUCGAGCAGCUUGUAAGCUUGCUCCGCGAGUUGUGCGAUUAGUCCGUUGCCCCGCUGCACGAGUUGAGCUGUGGCUGGAUUAUCCUUAUCUUGAGGCAUCAAUGUCAUCAAAAUGUUGAUUGAAGCGAUAGCCGCGAGUGGACUAUUAUGCUCCUGAGCCUAAACUGUGUUGAAAGCCCGUUCAAGAUUUGUAAUAGGGAUAUUUGUAGCCAUCGACUGUCGUCGCUCAGCUCGAGUAGCAUUGCGCGCCCUUCGUUGGUUGCGCUGUUCAAGAGUUUCAUUGUCGACUGUAGACUCAUCGUCAGAAAUGUUGUCGACUUGUGCUAGUCGCCUGGGGGUUCUAUUCUGGCUGGUACCCGGGUUGUUAACCGAAGUAAUAACAAGUAUCUCCCUGUCUGGGUAGUAGCUUCCGGAACUUGAUGUAGCAAUCUCUCUGUAGCUUCCUUUGUGGUUGGAUGUAAGUGGAAUGCCUUCUUGGUACGGCAGGUUGUCUAUAUGGGCGACGAGACGCGAGUCAUAGUCGCGGUCGAGGAAAAAUGGUCGCAAUCCCGGCCAGUGGACGAAUCUGCCUUGUGGUGUCGAAGUUAUUACCAACCCUUGGGCUGGGCUAGAUAAUGGUAUUUCUGGAGAGUAGGAUGAGUCGGAGUCAACGUCCUCAUCAUGCCCGAGUUCAACUCGGGUUCGAGCAAGAAAAUCUUGGUAGACUUUUCCGCGUUGCGAAGUCCAUGCGGGAACCGCCUUGAAGUCGAGACUGAUUUGGAUGCUGACUGGGGGCGCUGAAUCCGAAGCAAGUCCAACCCUGAGUCCAGGGGUCGGCUGAGCCCGACCCUUUGAGGGAGUAGCUCCGCCUCGCCCGACUCUGAGUGGAAAUCUGCCUCGCCCGACCCCGAGUCCUGAGGUCGGGAGCGCCGGACCCUUUGGAGGAGUAGCUCCGCCUCGCCCGACCCCGAGUUUUGGGGUCGGGAGAGCCUGACCCCUGAGCGAGACUCCGCCUCGCCUGACCCCGAGGCCUGGGGUCGGGAGAGCCCGACCCUGUGGGAGGGUAGCUCCGCCUCGCCCGACCCCGAGGCCUGGGGUCGGCGAAGCCCGACCCUGUGGAAGGGUAGCCCGCCUCGCCCGACCCCGAGGGAGGCUCCGCCUCGCCCGACCCUGAGUGCUAGGGUCGGCGGAGCCCGACCCUUGAGCGAGAUGUUGGCGUAGUCCGAGGCGAAGUUGAAUCCGACGCGUAGUCGAACUUGAGCUUGUUGACUUUGAAAUCUUGAUUUUUUCCGGUCACUUCUUCUAGUUUUGUCUCCUGAGUGUCGACGAUCUGGCGCCGGAACGAUCCCGAGCCUUCGGCGACGCACAGCCAGGAUCCGAAGACGAAGGUGGUGCCGGCUUCGAUGAAGAAGACGGGCCUGAUGAUGACUUUUGCCAUUGAGUUCGCGCUGAGAAACUUGACGAGUUCCCCUACCUGGCGCGCCAGCUGUCGGUAUUUUAGACCGGCAACCCGCCUAGGGGUACCCUAGGUGGUCUUUUAUGCGGUAAGGGUCGUCGAGAAUCAAGGAAUCAAUGGUGACGCAAGGAACACGAUUUAGACAGGUUCGGGCCGCUAGAUCGCGUAAUACCCUACAUCCUGUGUGUUGGUUUGUAUUGAUGUAUGUUCUGGUCGUGAGGAUUGUUCUUUGAGGGGGGUCCCUGCCCGGCCUUAUAUACACGGGAGGGCAGGGAUACAAGUCUGAGUCCUAGUCGGGUACUAUUACAGAGUUCUACUCGGUAUCGGUCCGAGUAGUUUUCCAUAAACAUACAAGACUAGUCCGAGUAGGAUACGCCCAUCCUUGUUCUGAUCAAGUUCGAGUACGUCCCUUAGUGGGCCGUCCAAGGUCUACUCGUGGGUCUGGGGAGUAGUCCCGACAUGUGGUACCUCUGGAAAGCAAGAAAUGAUUCCAGGUUCAAUAAUAUUAGAUGGACUGUGAGUAGAGUAAAUCAUGAAGUUCAAGCUGAUAUUGCUACUUCCACUCUUUUUACCUCAAAUGCAAGUCAAAACAGAAAUAGUGCUUCUAGAAUUAACAUUGCAAUAUUGCAACUAAUACCAGCAGUACCUCUUUCCCUGCGCCUGUUCCUUCUUUAUUGGUGGUUCAGGAACCACAUUGCAGCCAUUCUUGGCAGCCUUUUGUUUUUGCUUAUGCAUAUGCAGCUCUUCAACCUGAUGGACAAAGUUGUAAUUCCAGAACUGCAGGCCUGGGAGCAUUGAUUGAACUUAGAUCCACUACUUUUUCAUGUCGUUUGCAGGUGCUUGGUUCUGUCAAGGAAGACUCGGUGGUUAUGGCAGAGCUGGCUGCUCUCCUUUUGUCAAGGACGUCGAGUCCUCGGCUGGCCGGACCGCGGCUACGGAGCUCGUAGCCGUCGGCCGUCUUCUCCGGCGAGGUUAUACCCCUCAACCGUAGGCUUUAGGAGAUAAAGGAGAUAGGAAAUAUAAUUCUUGCUUAUUUGAUCUCACGAGUACAGCAGUUUAUAUAUGGCCAAAGGCCUAACCGAAAUAUAGAAAGUAAAGCUAAGUUUUCAUCCUUAGUCGCUAGAGUUUGAUUCAAGCAGCGCUUGAUCCGCACGCUCGGCAGCGCGGCGUAUGUCGCGGGCCCGACGGCGCCUGCCGUAUGUACGCCCGUACAUGACAUCUCCCCCUGCCUCGAAGUCCAGCUCGUCCUCGAGCUGAAAUGAAGGAAACCGAGCAUGGAAGUCGUCCAAAUCCUCCCAUGUGGCCGACUCAGGAGGUUCACCUUGCCAUUCAACGAGGAUUUGACAGACGCCACGAGCAAGACGAGCGCGCGUCACCUGACUUGGGGUAGGCACCACCGCACCAUGUAGAAGUGGAGGCAACAAUGGGGGCGCGGAUGGUGGAACGCCGACGAACUUUUUGAGAACACUGACGUGGAAGACAUCAUGAAGACGAGCCCCGGGAGGAAUCAGGAGCCGGACAGCUACCUCAUUGAUAAGCUCCGUGACUUGAUAUGGCCCGACGAAUCGCGGCUUGAGCUUCCCUGUGGCGGAACGUGGAAGAGACGUGGCCGCCCGCUGCCGUAGACGAAGAAGAGCCCAGUCGCCGACCUGGAAGGAGACAGCCCUGUGAUGCUGGUCGUAGACACGUUUCUGGGCCGCCUGUGCCUGCUCGAGACGAUUGCGGAUGUCCUCAAGAAAAGCUGUGCGCUCCUCCAUCUCCUGGGCGACGGCGGCGACACGGGUGUCCCCGGGCUCAUAGGAACGAAUGGACGGAGGAUCCCGGCCAUACACCACACGGAAUGGAGUGUCUCGGAGGGACGUCUGAUACGCCGUGUUGUACGUGUACUCGGCCCAAGGCAACCAUCUGAGCCACUGCCGGGGACGAUCACCAGUGAAGCACCUCAAGUACAUAACAAUCACCCGAUUGGCUGCCUCAGUCUGGCCGUCCGUCUGGGGGUGGAAGGCAGACGACAUGAAGAGCUUGGUCCCUGUAAGCCUCAUGAGUUCGCGCCAAAAUGCUGAAGUAAACACCGGAUCGCGGUCCGACAUGAUGGACUGCGGCACGCCGUGGAGACGAACAAUGUCGGCGAAGAAGACUUGGGCGACGGACUCGGCCGUGUAGGGAUGCGCCAAGGGAAUAAAAUGGCAGUACUUGCUAAAACGAUCCACGACAGAAAGAAUGACCGUCUUGCCUUGUACCUUGGGAAGGGCCUCGAUGAAGUCGAUGCCGAUGUCAGCCCAAACGGUCGACGUAACUGGCAGAGGCUGAAGCAGUCCGGCCGGCCGGUGAUGAUCGGACUUGUACUGCUGACAAGUGACGCAUGCCUUCAUGAAGUCCUGCACCCACCGGCGCAUGGCAGGAAAAUGGAAGUCCCGACGGAGCCGGUGGAGGGUACGGUGGACGCCUUCGUGGCCAUCAUUGUGGACGGCGGCCACGAUCUCUGGCAGCAGCGGGGAUGCCGAGGGAAUGUACAAACGGCCAUCGAAGGCAAUCAUGCCGUCCAUCAGCGCCCAUGGCGUGGUGCGGGUGCCGGCCUGAAUCUCGUCGUGGAUGGCGACCAAGGCGGGAUCAGUGGCCUGGGCGUGGCGGAGACGCUCGAUGAAGUCGAAGCGGGGCGCCGAAACAGCCAUCAGUUCCCCGGCGUCAUCAUCGCGACGGGACAGGGCGUCGGCGACGACAUUCGUGGCGCCCGAGCGGUACUCCACUGAGAAAUCAAAGCCCAGGAGCUUGCCGACCCAAUGAUGCUGAGGGAUUGUGGCGAGGCGUUGGUCGAGCAGGUACUUCAAGCUGUAGUGAUCGGUGCGGACGGCGAAGCGCCGGCCCCAAAGGUAUGGUCGCCAGUGCCUAAUGGCCUGGACGAGACCGAUGAGCUCGCGCUCAUAAGCUGCCAGCGAGCGGUGGCGAGGGGCCACAGGCCGGCUGUAGAAGGCUACAGGGUGGCCUUCCUGGACAAGAACGGCACUGAAGCCGAUGGACGACGCAUCGCACUCCACGGUGAACAUCUUGGUGAAGUCGGGCAUGGCGAGGACAGGAGCAGAAGUGACGGCGGCCUUGAGCGCAGUGAACGCCGCAACUGCCGCGUCGUCCCAUGAAAAGCCUUCCUUCUUGAGAAGGGCCGUCAGGGGAGCCGCAAUUGCCCCGUAAUUGUGGACGAAUUUGCGGUAAUACCCGGCGAGGCCGAGGAAGCCGCGCACCGCCCUGGGGGAACGUGGAGGAGGCCAAUCGUGGAUGGCCUACACCUUGGCAGGGUCCAUGGCCACACCUGCCGCGGAGAUGACAUGGCCGAGGUAUGCGACGGACGAGGCGCCGAAGGAACACUUGCUGCGUUUGACGAACAGCUGGUGGCGGCGGAGUUCAUCGAGGACGGCCCGAAGAUGACGAAGACGAUCAGCCCAUGUCCUGCUAUAGAUCAGAAUGUCGUCAAAAAAUACGAGGACGAAACGACGGAGGAACGGCCGGAGCACGUCGUUCAUCAGAGCCUGGAAUGUUGCCGGAGCGUUGCACAGGCCGAACGCCAUCACCAGAAACUCAUAUAGGCCGUCGUGGGUACGGAACGCCGUCUUGUGGAUGUCUUCCAGGCGCAUGCGCACCUGAUGGUACCCCGAGCGCAGAUCCAGCUUGGUGAAAAACUUGGCGCCGUGUAGUUCGUCGAGGAGCUCGUCGACCACCGGGAUCGGGAAGGCGUCCUUGACGGUGAAGGCGUUCAGCGCCCGGUAGUCGACACAGAAGCGCCAGGACCCAUCUGGCUUCUUGACGAGGAGGACGGGAGACGAAAAAGGGGAGUCACUGCGGCGGACGAUGCCUUGGUCGAUCAUGGCAGCACACUGCCGUUCCAGUUCAUCUUUGUGCGCCGCAGGGUACCUGUACGGCCGUACGGCGACCGGCUGGGCGUCGGGCUUGAGGAGGAUGCGAUGAUCAUGGGUACGCUGGGGCGGGAGGCCUGCUGGGUCCGCGAAGAGGCCCUCAAAGGAGCGGAGCAGCGCCUCCAAUAGUGAACAUGCUGUUGUGGUGGCGUUCAGGGCCGGUACCGACGGGCUGGCCACGCCGGUCCAGGAGACGAAGCGCCCGUGGCGCAGGAAGUGCAUGCGCCGAUGGCCAAGGUCCCAGACGAUGGGGCCCAACUCGUCGAGCCACCUGGUGCCGAGGACGACGUCGUACCCCGCCAACGGCAUGACGUAGAGAUCGGCCGGAAACGACUCGCCGUCGAUGAUCAGGGGAGCGUUGCGGAUGACGCCGGCGCAGGAGACUCGUUCGCCAUUAGCGACCAAGGCAGUGAGACGGGGACGGGAGCAGGAGGGAAGACCGGAGCGCCGUGCUGCCUCCUCCGAGAUGAAGUUGUGCGUGCUGCCGGAGUCGAGGAGGGCGACGAGAGACGCGGCACCGACGACCACAGCGAUCUGCAUGGUGCCGGCCAUCGGCACCCCGGCUACGGCCUGUAAGGAGAAGCAUGGUGCCUCGGCCUCACGCUCCACGUCAUCCGCGGCGUCCAAAGUGUCCUCGAGCUCCACACCUUCAAUGAAGAAGAGGCGCCUGCAAAAUCGGUUAUGGCCCCGAGUAUACUUUUCAUUACAAUUGAAACAGAGCCCCAGACGACGGCGUUCGGCCAUCUCGUCCGGAGUCAGACGCCGCGGAGUACUCUCGCUGCGGCCUUGCUGGCCGGCCACCGGAGGGGCGGGGAGGGCCAGCGGCUGGUGUGGCGCCGGCAGGGCGGCCCUGGGAACGGGCGCGGGCAGAAGGCCGCGCUGCGGAGGCCGGUGAGGGUGCGGCGCCGGUCGUUCGGCCUCCAUGAGUUCCACCUGACGCGCCAGGCUCAUAGCGGCCGCUAGCGUUGCCGGAUUGUGGAGGCGGACGGUGUGGCUAAGCGGCGGCAGAAGACCCCCGGUGAAGAGCUGCACACGUUGGGCCUCAUCCAGCCGGCCGGCGCGAGGCAGGAGGGCCUGGAAGCGAUUGGCGUAGUCCUCCACCGUCCCUGUACGCCGGCACUCAGCGAGCUCGAAUAGCGGAGCCGAGCGGAGGGGAGGCCCGAAACGCAGGUGCAGGAGCUCCUUGAAACGCCCCCACGGCGGCGGUCCCUCGUCUUCCUGGAGUUGGGUAUACCAUAGCUGGGCGACAUCCUCCAGAUGAUACGAAGCCAACCACACUCGCUCCUCCGCCAUAGUACGUUGCUGACGAAAGUAAGAUUCACACCUGUUGAUGAAGAGGAGCGGAUCAGACUUGCCGUCGUAGCGGGGGAAAUCCAACUUGUGAAACUUGGGGGGGCGCUCGGCAUCGCGCGGCCCUUCCGGACGGCCACCGGUGGCGCUGGUGGACGACGAGGACGGCUUUUCCUUGAUGGCCGCCAAGUCAGCCUUCAGGGUUGUUACUUCCGUGGAAAGCGAUUUCAGUAAUUCCAUCACAUCGGCGAGGGACGGGUCGCCCAUGGCUGGCGGCGGUGGCGCGGACGUCGCAGCAGACGGUGGGGAUCGUGGAGGGUUUGUGUGGGAAUCGGCGGCGGUCGAAGAGGUGGAGCGGGCGGGCGAGGAUCGGCGAGACCGUGAUACCAAGUUGUCAAGGACGUCGAGUCCUCGGCUGGCCGGACCGCGGCUACGAAGCUCGUAGCCGUCGGCCGUCUUCUCCGGCGAGGUUAUACCCCUCAACCGUAGGCUUUAGGAGAUAAAGGAGAUAGGAAAUAUAAUUCUUGCUUAUUUGAUCUCACGAGUACAGCAGUUUAUAUAUGGCCAAAGGCCUAACCGAAAUAUAGAAAGUAAAGCUAAGUUUCCAUCCUUAGUCGCUAGAGUUUGAUUCAAGCAGCGCUUGAUCCGCACGCUCGGCAGCGCGGCGUAUGUCGCGGGCCCGACGGCGCCUGCCGUAUGUACGCCCGUACAUGACACCUUUUGGCUGCAAAAAUGAUUUCUAUGUUGCAGAUUCCAUCUGGUGGUUUAGGUUCUGACUGUCUUUUGGCAGUUAGAUUUCUACAUGAUGCACUUCAGAAUGUUCCAUGGAGGCUUCGCGCAUGGAUUUCUCAAUUUCAGGAAAUUGGUUUGCAAGAAGCUUUGAAAGUGAUCAAAAUCUCAAGAACCCAAAACCAGGCGGCUCAUCUUGUGGUUGUUAGAGCUCGAAAUGUAGUUUCUGAUGGACUACCUAUUCAUGUUUGUACCAAUCCUCUACAUAUUCAUGGUUGUGCAGUUCUUUCAGCACUCCAUUAUGUAAAUUGGGGUCUUCUGACCCUUCUCCAUGUACACUGUUUUUAAUAUAGAAGGAAGUCCUUUAUAAAAAAAAGGCAUCCAAAUUAACCGUGUGGUUUUGUCUUUGUUUGUGUUGUUAAAUGUCCUGGAAUGACCGGUUCAAAGUUGCUCCCUGUGUUAUUAUAAUGACGUUGGUAGCCAUUUUUAUCUGAUGCUUGAAAUUAUUUUCGAGGAAACCAUGCUUUAUCUCAAGAAAACCUCAUUCUUCUUUUCACGACCGUGCCUCAGCACAUUUUUUAUUAAGAGAAAGAGAAAACCUCAUCCUUGUUGUCGAAUUUAGUGACCGGCUGUCCACCAAGGGGGUACCCAGGUGGUAGAUUUGUAGCCGGGGGAGAUCGCAAGACUAAGAACUCGAAUGAUAACACAUAGACACAAGGUUUUGACAGGUUCGAGCCUCCGAAGAGUAAUACCCUACAUCCUGUGUUCUGGUGGAUUGUAUUGCUAGUAUGCGAGCGCUGGGAAGAGUCAAAGUCCCCUCGGGGGUGCCCCUAGCCAUCUUAUACAGGAUGACGACCUAGGGUUGCAAGUGGAUAGGAUCUAAUCCUAGUCGAUUGUUACAUGAUCGAACUACAACAUCUAUCUCACAGUAUCCGGGCAGAAUCCGUUCGCCCAGCCUCCAAGCUUGCGCUCCAUGUAUCUUCAUGCCUUACCCUGCACGUCAUGGUUGGGCGGGGCCCACUUGUUAGGCCGACCAGUAUCCUAGUCAGUGGGGAUCUGUGGGUACCCUUAUCCCUCAAGCUCCCGAACAAUGUGGAGUCGAACAUGAGCCUGACUGAUGCACAACGAAGCUUAUAAUGUACUCGGUUGAAGUUGCGGUUUCGUCAUGGUGACAAAGAGGCUGUGCAGUGCUCAAAAAAGAAAGAAAAAAUUUAGAGUUGAGCAAGCGUGUGACCAAGUGCGUGUGGCACGAGCGACUACCGAGCUACAAGAUGUCAGGCAUCCUGCAGAUCGAAGGGAAACAUGUAGAGGGCAUCAUAAGACGCACUCCGUAUGGAGUAGCCCCCGAGCCUUGAAGCGAUUAAUAUAAUUGGUCCAAGGAUCUAAAAGUUUUGUCGGCCGUGUGAUUGUUGUAUCAUUAAUGAUAAUGAAGCGCCCUGCACGAGGACUGGCGGAGCUGGAGCCAUGAAGGCACGCCAAUGGAAUGCUGAGCCACCUCCCGCCUCAAGCCUGAGAGGUCAGCCAAGCAGCAGGAGGCACGCCGAAUCAUCUGUGGCGCCCAUCCCCUAAGCUUGGGAGCCGGCCGAGCCACAGAAGCACAUCGAGUCGCCACCCACCAAGCCCAGGUCAGUCGAGCAGAGGAAGGCACGCCGAGUCAUCUAUGGCACUCAGCCCCUGAGCCUGGGAACCAGCCGAGCCACAGAAGCACGUCGAGUUGCUGCCCGCCCACCCUAGGUCGGCUGAGCAGCGCGACGCACACCGAGUUGUUUGUGACGCCCAGCCCCCAAGCCUAGGAGCUGGCUGAGCCUCGGAAGCACGCCAAGUCACCACCCACCCAGCCUAGGUCGGCCGAGCAGUGGGAGGCAUGCCGAGUCAUCUGUGGAGCCUAGCCCCCGAGCCUGGAAGCCGACCGAACCACAGAAGCACAUUGAGUCACCACCCGCCUAGCCUAGGUCAGUCGAGCAACGGGAGUCACACCAAGUCGUUUGUGGCGCCCAGCCCCCGAGCCUGGGAGGUCGGCCAGGUGGCAAGAAGUUGGCCGGGUGGCAGGAGGCACGCCGACUAGUUUCGGAGUUGUACAAGGACAACACAAAGAUUAUGUAGCAUAAUGUCGAACAUUUAAUAAUUGAAUAACUCAGAGUUGUUAUUCGGCGUAAAAGUAAGUUCUUGUGCGUGCUCCCGUAGGUCAUGUUAUUUCCCACAAGUAGUUAGCCCGUUAUGUUUAAGCACCUGACCCUGCUGAGGUGUUGCCAAAAGCGGGCUCGAGAGUGCUUAGCAGGAAGCAACACAUGAGGGCCAAGCUUCACGGAUUAAGACGCGUGCUACCUGAGUACUUUAGCAACAGUUAAGAGAGACGAACAGCCGCAAAGCAGUCCGAAUUGUGGGGAAAAGCAAGAACGUGCGCUGGUCACUCGUAGGUCGUAGCCCCAACUGCCCGUGUAGUGGAUGAACCAAGCUGUGUAAGCAGAGUAGGUUUGACAGGGUGGUCGACGAAAGUCACGGAGAAAUAAGAGAAUUGAGGCGUGUGGAGAUAUACAGAAGUCGUAAAAUAUUUAAUUGAAUAUAUGACUUAGCUUGGUUCGUGGUCGAGUCGAAGAAUCUGCGUGUCGUCUUCACGUUUAAGCUUAAGAAGCCCGUGGACGUCAUUUUAGUUUGUCGCGAUCGGCUGCUGUUGUCGGUGAAGCAAACUAGUCGGGCUCCAUGCCCAACUAAUUCGUGUCGAGUCCGAGUUAUUGGAGUUGUUAGCGGCGAAGAUGUUUAGGCUUAAGGAGUCCCUGGACGUCAUCUUAGUUUGUCGUGGUCAGCUGCUGUUGUCAGUGAAGCAAACUAGUUGGGCUCCAUGCCUAACUAAUUCAUGUCGAGUUCGAGUUGUUGGAGUUAUCAGCGGCGCGUCUGGCGUCGCCCACGCCAGUGGUUGCGGUCGUGGUAUGCUGCAGCCAAGUCGAUGCGGCCAUCGGGUCGUGGCCGGCUGGCGCCACGCUCGCAGUACAGCGUGCAUGGGUUGCGCUGCCGAUGCUGCGCAAACCGGGUGAAUCUUUGCGAACCUCGUAAGGAAGCCCUCACGUAGUAAGGAAAUAAUAUAAGAAAAAAAAUUGUUAGCUGCCGUAUUAAGCAACAAGCAAAGUAGGAGAUUGGAUGGAAUAGGUUAAAUAAUAAAGGGAAGGGGGAAUUGUUCCAUGUUGGUUGCGUGGCAGAUCCGACAUGUCUGCAUGCAAGGAUCCCAUCCAGAAGCGCCUACUUUUUAUUCGGCCAGGAGUCCAAAAACGCAUCGAAUCUCCAACAGGCUUUGAUUCCACCACGCAUGAUGAUUGCACUCGAUCAAAUCCCGGCGAUAGCAUCUUCGCUUCGCAUGACGUCGAGCAUCCCGCGGCGGCGGCACGGCGUACGGCAGAGGCACGUAUGCGCCGAAACCCAUAAUGAUGAAGCAAUCGGCGGAUGAUGAAGACGACUCGGCGUACGUGAAAAAUAAGUUCAUAAGUACAAAAUCGAGUAGAUCGAUUUGAGAGCGAUGACAAGAACAAUUCACCCGGUUGAUGAUUACUGCCAUCGAGCUCACUGGGAUCUCGCGAUCACCCCUACCUGACGCGUCAACUGUCGAAUUUAAUGAUCGGCGGUCCACCAAGGGGUACCUAGGUGGUAGAUUUGUAAGCGGAGAAGAUCACAAGACCAAGAACUCGAAUAGUAACACAGAGACGCAAGGUUUAGAUAGGUUUGGAUCUCCGGAGAGUAAUAUCAUAUGUCUUAUGUACUAGUGGAUUAUAUUGUUGGUAUGCGAUGCGCUGGGAAGAGUCAAGGUCCUUAUCUUAUAUAGGCUGACAACUUAGGGUUACAAGUUAAUAGAAUUUAAUCCUAAUCAGUUGUUACAUGGAAACCAAUCUUAGUCGGAGUAUCUGGGCAGAAUCCAUUCGUCCGGCCUCCAAGCUUGCGUUCUACGUAUCUUCAUGCCUUGCUCCGCACGCUAUGGUCAGGUGGGACUCACUUGUAAGGCCGACCAGGAUAGUUGGGAGUUAUCUCUCACUUGUGGAGUUUAAAUUGGCGAGGAUUUCUCGCAUUGCUGUAGGAUUUAACAUGGUUGUAAAAAAUCUGUACACUAUAGUAUUCGCCUCACUCGUUGAUCUUCCUGAACUGCUUCCAACCAAAAACAAAACGACCUUCGUGGGCCCUAACAUUGUGCCCCAAAAUCUCAAAUUGAAUUGCAAUUGCCGAUUACUGCCCGUCAUCUAUUGAACUAAACAAAAACGACUGUGGUCACUGGUCACAUACUUGCACAGACAUUUCGAAAGGUAGUGGCUUCAGCCAGCAAUCAAAAAAAAGUGUACUUUCGAUGCAUCAGUAAUUCUAAUGACCAUUUAUUUUUUUUAAAAUAACGCAAAUGCUAAACUGAGUGGCUCUCGGUUUAAGCUUACCGCGAGAACCCUCUCGAUUUAGCAAUCUGAGGAAAGGGAGAAAGAUGUCGGAUGCCAGAAAAGGAAAAAAAAUUGAAAAGUAACAAAUCAAAUAAAAGCAAGUAACAAGCACUCAUCUCCGACAAUCUCCUCCAUCUCCGGCAGCUUGUGGGCGGAGCGACCAGCGGUAGAGAUCGUCGGGUUAGGGUUAAGGUUAGGGUUUGGGAGUUCAGGAUGGGAGGAGCUUCCAUGGCCAGCGGCCAUAGAGGGAUGUCCGUGGGCUGCGGCUGGAUUGGCGGCAGAGGCGAGCCAGCGAGGACGUCGGGCGGUGCAGGAUGGUGGUUGGGAUGGGUCAGGCGGUGGGGGUGAGGCAUGGAGUGGUUAGGAAGGGUAGGAGGCGUGGUGGGGUGGAAGGUGGGCAAUGCGGCAUGGCGGCGCACAACCGGCCGUGGCCAGUGGGAGAGGGAUGUUCGAGAAAGAGGGUGAAAGGGGGAUAGGAAUUAGGAGGGGGAGGGGGAGGAGGAGUGGAGGGCGGACCUCGCCAGCUUUGGAGGUGAGGUGGCGGUCGGCCGCGGAGGUAUCCGUCGGCCGCGGGGGUGGCGGCACUAGCGAAAGCGCGCAGGUUCGCGAACAGAUAAGCACAGGACUACGGGUUGGGGGCUCUCCACCAUUGCUUAUUGGGAGAGCCAUCUCUCGUUGUGUUCAAUAAAUAAUAAUAAGAGAUGUGCUUGCCCAUUGAUAAUUCAUUUAUGGCCUCCUCAACCGCUUGUGGAGGGAAUCGUGCAUGGCUUGGGGCUAAUCACUGCGGCGUCGCGUGUGUUGUGCAUCUCUGAAAGUUACAUGGGAAGCCAAGAUGCACCAGUGAGUCUAGCAAGGUUGAGGUGGUCAUGUGGAUAUACAACGGUUGAUUGACCGAGGUCGGAGAAUUUGGAAUAGGAAGAUCGACUCUGAUAUGGUAGGGGUUGUUCCCAAUCUUUCGAUGACAGGAGUAACUUCGAUUUGGGGGUGGAAUCAACGUUGGCUGUCCGACUACAACAAUCACAGGAUGCUGCGCCUUAGCAACAGGUACACCGAUUCCGACGUUGGCUGUUCUUGCUGAGCCAAGAACACCCUUGAACCUGCUAGCAAUUGAGAACAAGCAAGAACAAGAUGAACAAGCAAAUAAACCCACGGAUCUCAACCAAAUGAAACCUGAAUCAUGAGUUGGGGUCUUGAAUCAAGCAAAUCGGGUGGUCUAGUCGACACAAAACCCAAGUUCAUCCUGGUGGCUGCUAGAUGUAUUUAUACAUGGGCAACAACAAGGAGGUGUGCGAGGGUGUAAACCCUAAGCUGGAAAGGACCCCUAGUAGGCUGCACAAGAUAUAAGGGUUUGAACCCAAGACUGGACGGCCGAACAUCUCUUCGUCAAUUCUGCUCAGCUCCGGUGGAAUUUCGUCAUGAGGUUGGAUCCAUCUGAAAGUAGACUUCAAGAUCUUUCCAAUGAGUACUCAUAUGCCCCAAACAACAUUCGGAGUUGAGAAAUAUUGCCACGUCAAUUUGAUGUUGCCUGGCUGUACGAACUUGAAGUCUGAACUUGAUGUCCGAUCUUGUGCUUUCUUAUUGUGUGAUCUUGAUGCCCAAACUGAUUGGUUGAUCCAUUAGGCUCCUCUCCAUCAUUCCUAAUAAUAAUAAAAUCAUCACAAUGACUUAGUAGCAUCCAAUUAUGAGAUGAGGGUUCAUGGACAGCGAGGAACGAGUUAACCUGAUAAUUUAGCUCUCGUUUACGGGCUCUUGUCAUUGGUCCUUGCUGCGUAGUAGGCGUGGUUGUAUCAUUGGAAGGAAUGUCCUCAUCAUCCUCCCCUUCUUGCAUGUGAGUCGUCCUCGACUCAAGUUCAUCUUCCUAGCCCAAAUAUGGUUUCAAAUCUGCAAUGUUAAAUGUGGGGCUGACCCCAAAAUCUGCAGGCAACUCAAGUUUGUAUGCAUUAUCAUUGAUCUUAGCUACAACUUUAAAAGGACCAGUAGCUCUCGGAAGCAACUUUGACUUUCUCAAAUCAGGAAACCGAUCCUUUCUCAAGUGCAGCCAAACCAAAUCACCCGGUUCGAAAGUAACAUGCUUCUUUCCUAAGCUACCAGCAAGUUUAUAUUUAGCAUUCAUGUUCUCUAUGUUCUCUUUUGUGGUCUCAUGCAUUUUUAACAUCAACUCAGCACGUUGUUUAGCAUCAAAAUUCAAUCUCUCAGAAGUUGGUAAAGGCAGCAAAUCAAUAGGGGCACGAGGCACAAAACCAUAAACAAUCUCAAAAGGGCUCUUUUUAGUAGUAGAGUGUUGUGAACAAUUGUAAGCAAACUCAACAUGAGGCAAACAUUCUUCCUACAUUUUUAUGUUCUUUUUCAAAACUGCCCUAAGCAUGGUAGAUAAAGUUCUAUUCACAACCUUGGUUUGUCCAUCAGUUUGGGGAUGACAAGUAGUGGAAAAAAGCAACUUAAUACCCAAUUUAGCCCACAAAGUUCUCCAAAAAUAACUAAAAAAUUUUGCAUCCCGAUCUGAAACAACUGUGUUUGGUACACCAUGCAAACGAACAAUCUCAUGAAAGAACAAGUCAGCAACAUGAGUAGCGUCAUCGGUCUUAUGACAUGGUAUAAAAUGUGCCAUCUUAGAAAAUCUAUCCACAAUCACAAAGACACUAUCCCUCCCCUUCCCAAUUUUUCGAUGAGAGGAGUAACUUCGAUUUUGGGGGUGGAAUCAACAUUGGCUAUCCGACUACAACAAUCACAGGAGGUUGCGCCUUAGCAACAGGUACACCGAUUUCGACGUUGGCUGUUCUUGCCGAGCCAAGAACACCCUUGAACCUGCUAGCAAUUGAGAACAAACAAGAACAAUAUGAACAAUCAAAUAAACCCACAGAUCUGAACCAAAUGAAACCUGAAUCACGAGUUGGGGUCUUGAAUCAAGCAAAUCGGGUGGUCUAGUCGACACACGCGUUCACUAGGAAGUAGCAAUAGCUAAACUUGCAUCUAAACAAAACCCAAGUUCAUCCUGGUAGCUGCUAGAUGUAUUUAUACAUGGGCAACAGCAAGGAGGCGUGGGAAGGUGUAAACCCUAAGCUGGAAGAGCCCCUAGUGGGCUGCACAAGAUAUAAGGGUUUCAUCCCAAGACUGGAAGGUCGAACGUCUCUUCGUCAAUUCUGCUCAGCUCCGGUGGAAUUUCGUCAUGAGGUUGGAUCCAUCUGAAAGUAGACUUCAAGAUCUUUCCAAUGGGUACUCAUAUGCCCCAAACAACAUCCGGAGUUGAGAAAUAUUGCCACGUUAAUUUGAUGUUGCCUGGCUGUACGAACUUGAAGUCUGAACUUGAUGUCCGAUCUUGUGCUUUCUUAUUGUGUGAUCUUGAUGCCCAAACUGAUUGGUUGAUCCAUUAGACUCCUCUCCAUCAUUCCUAAUAAUAAUAAAAUCAUCACAAUGACUUAGUAGCAUCCAACUAUGAGAUGAGGGUUUAUGGACAGCGAGGAACGAGUUAACCUGAUAAUUUAGCUCUCGUGCACGGGCUCUUGUCAUUGGUCCUUGCUGCGUAGUAGGCGUGGUUGUAUCAUUGGAAGGGAUGUCCUCAUCAGACUCUUCUGGGGUGGCUCUCCCUUGAACCUGACUGCGAGGAAAUUUCAACUAUGAGGUUUACAGCAAGACCGAGCUACUAACGAUAAACAGGUGAGGUCUUUUUUUUAUCUUCUCCUCUCUUUUUUUCUAGCUACACGAGGCCUUUUGAGAUGGCCGGCUACGCCUUGAGCCAACCAGGCAGACGUCGGGCAAGCUCAUCUUCUUCGGCAGCUUUACUGCAGUAGUCUCAUUUACAUUUUCUCAUAAAUGAUUAUACUGAAAGAAUUUAUCAAGAUGAAACAACAAAACAAAUAAAAAAUAGUUUCAUUUACAUUUCCCAUAAAUGAACAAUAGUUUCAUUUACUAUUAGGUAGUGAUAGAGGAAGGGGGCAGGACCAGACCCCCAUGGCUUUUUUUUAAGAAACAGGAGGGGGGCCCUACUGAAAGGCCCCCUAUGGCUUGACAAUUUUCAAUGAUAUUUUUAAAUUUUCAACCAAAUUUUGAAGAAAAUUGGUAGUAGCUUCUGACACUCAAACCGAUCCUAUGAUGGUGGAGUAAAUAGUUACUCUUUCUAUUUUAAAUUGUAGAUCGUUUUGGUUUUUCUAAUAAUUUGGAACGGAGGAACGGAGGGAGGGAGUAUUUGGGUCGAAGGUACCCACCGUUGUUUUCUAACUGGCCCCACAAGAGGUUUGGAAAAUUGUUGUUUUUUAUUGAGGAAAUUUGGAGUUGAAAAAUGAACCAGAACCUGCAGAGUUCUUUCCGAGCGUACGUGGGCACGUGGCCACGAGGGUUCACCGUAACCGACUCGACCGCGGAUUCGAGCCUCUUUCGCAGGCCGCCCGAAUCGGACGCCCAGUCGCCCACGCGUGAGUGACGCGCCGCACCGAUCCGUAUAUCUGCGGCCGCCCUCGUGGCUUUGACGCCCCCCACCGCCUUCCUCUCACCGUUCCGUUUCAUUCCAUCUCCACUCCCGUUCGACACGACACCAACGCGCACCCAGACCGCCCGGCACCCCGCCGCCGCGCGCGCGGUCAUGGCGGCGGCGACCAGCGCCGGUGCGGUGGGCGAGGGUAUGCGGCGGCUCACGCAGCUCUCGCUCGUCUCGAAGGUCUGCUCGGAGCUCGAGGCCCAUCUGGGCGUCGCCGACCGCGUCCUCGCCGAGUUCGUCGUCGACCUCGGCCGCGCCUCCGCUUCCGCCGCCGACUUCGCCGCCGCGCUCAGGGAUCACGGCGCGGAGCUCCCGGACUACCUCGUCCGCUCCCUUCACGCCGUCAUCACCGCCAUCCCCGACCACGCCCCCGCCCCGGUGCCCGCCGCCCAGAACCCCACCUCCCGUGGCGCCGGUAAGGGGAGACGCGGGGACAAGGAGGCGGAGAGUGAUGGGGACCCGGAGCUGUACCAGGUGCACCGCGGGAGGGUCACCCGCGUUGCGGACGCUGGGUGCUUCGUCCGCCUCGACGGCGCGCGCGGCCGCGAGGGGCUCGUGCACGUCUCCCAGAUUCCCGGCCGCCGCGUAUCCGCCACUCGCGGUCAGGAGGUGUUCGUCAAGGUCGUCUCGGUGGACGGCAGCAAGCUGGGGCUGUCGAUGCGAGACGUCGAUCAGGAUUCGGGUAGGGAUCUCCUCCCACUCCGUCGGGGUUCUGGGGAGGACGAUGCGCCGAGAGCCAAUCCACCAGCUGAUCGCGCCAGGGCCGCCGGGAAGAGGAAGGGGGUUUCGGGGAUUUUUGUUCCCGAUGAUGAUGAGGCCGGCCCUGUGCCACGCCGGCCAACUAGGCGGAUGAGCUCGCCAGAGAGGUGGGAGAUGAAGCAGCUGAUUGCGUCGGGGGUGUUGGAUGCCAAGGACUAUCCAGGGAUUGAUGAGGAUGACGAUGGGAUGCUUUACCAGGAGGAACCAGAGGAGGAGCUGGAGAUCGAACUCAAUGAGGAUGAGCCUGCAUUCUUGCAGGGAAAGGGGCGCUCCACGGCUGACUUGUCUCCAGUGAGGAUUUCCAAGAAUCCUGGGGGGUCGAUGAGCCAUGCGGCGGCACUGCAGUCUGCACUUGUUAAGGAGAGGCGUGAUAUUCACACCCAGGAGCAAAGAGGAAUGGUUGAUGCAAUACCUAAGGACCUUAAUCGGUCGUGGGAGGACCCCAUGUCAGGUGGACGGUACCUGAUGCAGGAGUUGAUGGGCAUGGGACUAACAGCACAGAGUGUGCCAGAAUGGAAGGUGACAUAUGGGAAGGCUGGAACAUAUGGGCAGAGGUCAAGGCUUUCAAUUCAGGAGCAAAGAGAGAGCCUUCCAAUAUUCAGACUCAAGAAGGAGCUGAUUAAUGCUGUUCAUGACAACCAAGUUUUGGUUGUUAUCGGUGAGACUGGCUCUGGGAAAACAACCCAGGUUACGCAAUACCUUGCUGAGUCAGGGUAUACUGCAACGGGUAAAAUUGCUUGUACUCAGCCACGCAGGGUUGCUGCAGAGUCAAUCGCAAAGCGUGUAGCAGAGGAGUUUGGAUGUCGAUUAGGUGAAGAAGUUGGUUACUCUAUUCGCUUUGACGACCGCACUGGGCCUGAAACUGUCAUCAAGUAUAUGACAGAUGGUAUGCUCCUACGAGAGAUUUUGGUGGACAGAGAUUUGUCGUCUUAUUCGGUGGUUAUGCUUGAUGAGGCACAUGAGAGAACUAUCUACACAGACAUUCUCUUCGGCUUGCUAAAGCAGCUAAUUAGGCGGAGAAGUGACCUCAAAUUAAUAGUCACUUCAGCCACUCUUGAUGCUGAGAAGUUCUCUGGUUAUUUUUUUGAUUGCAAUAUUUUCACGAUUCCUGGAAGAACUUUUCCAGUUGAGAUACUGCAUACAAAACAGCCAGAGAGUGACUACAUGGAUGCUGCGCUGAUCACAGUAUUACAAAUUCAUUUGACUCAGCCCGAAGGGGAUAUCCUCUUGUUCCUGACUGGCCAGGAAGAGAUUGAACAUGCUUGUGAGCGUCUCCAUGAGAGGAUGAAGGCAUUUGGUGGGGACAUACCAGAGCUGAUAAUUUGUCCUGUGUACAGUGCUCUUCCUACUGAAGUUCAGUCAAAGAUCUUCGAACCUGCUCCUCCUGGUAAGAGGAAGGUAGUCGUCGCCACCAACAUUGCAGAAGCAUCUAUUACCAUAGAUGGGAUUUACUAUGUUGUUGAUCCAGGCUUUGCAAAGCUUAAUGUCUAUAACCCAAAACUAGGGCUGGAUUCACUGGUUAUCACUCCGAUCUCUCAGGCGUCAGCUAAGCAAAGAGCAGGGCGUGCUGGACGUACAGGCCCAGGCAAGUGUUAUCGUCUAUACACUGAGAGUGCAUAUCGCAAUGAAAUGGUCCCCACAACAACUCCGGAAAUCCAGAUGGCCAACUUGGGGUGGACGGUUAUUAAUAUGAAGGCAAUGGGAAUUAAUGACCUAUUGACAUUUGACUUCAUGGAUCCACCAGCAUCUCAAGCACUCGUGUCAGCUAUGGAGCAAUUGUACAGUCUUGGCGCCUUGGAUGAAGAGGGUCUUCUUACUAGGCUAGGGAGAAAGAUGGCUGAAUUUCCACAGGAGCCACCCCUUUCAAAGAUGCUCCUUGCUAGUGUAGACCUUGGAUGCAGUGAUGAAAUACUGACAAUCAUUGCCAUGAUACAAACUGGGAACAUAUUCUAUCGGCCAAGAGAGAAGCAAGCUCAAGCAGAUCGGAAGAGAUCAAAUUUUUUCCAGCCAGAAGGUGAUCAUCUCACCCUACUCACUGUGUAUGAGGCAUGGAAGGCAAAGGGGUUUUCAGGACCAUGGUGCUUUGAGAAUUUUAUCCAGGUAAACUCCCUAAGGAGGGCUCAGGACGUGCGGAAACAGCUCCUCGAGAUCAUGGAUAAGUAUAAGCUUGAUGUUGUCUCAGCAGGGAACAAUCCCACCAAGAUAGGGAAAGCCCUUGCCGCUGGAUUCUUCUUCCACGCGGCAAGGAAGGAUCCCAGUGGAGGAUACCAGACCCUCUCUGAUCAUCAGCAAGUAUAUAUCCACCCAAGCAGUGCCCUCUUUCACCAGCAGCCGCAGUGGGUGAUCUACCAUGAAAUCGUCAUGACGACGAAGGAGUACAUGAGGGAGGUCACAGCCGUUGACCCGAGAUGGCUAGUAGAGUUGGCACCAAGGUUCUACAGAUCGGUGGACCCGACGAAGAUCAGUAAGCGGAAGCGCCAGGAGAGGAUCGAACCCCUGUAUGAUAGACACAGUGAGCCGAACUCAUGGCGCCUAAGCAAGCGCCGUUGGUGAUUUGUAUUUCCUUUCUUGUAGCUCUGCCAUGUAAUGUUACUCUAGUUGUAGAUAUUAAGCUGCUCUGUUAAUCCAUGUGCUCAGAUGAUUGCAGUGCGGUGUUGCAUGUAUAGUUUUUGUUCCUUAAAGUUGGAAGCCCUGUGAGGCAAAAAGCAUGUUACCGCAACAAUUUGUUUCAACUGUUGCAUGGAUUGAAACUAGUUCAAUUUUUACACAUCAAAUCUGGGUAUUGUUGCAUCUAAGCAAGGUAUCAUUUUCUUUUCUUGAUAUAUCUUGUCACUGGAUCAGUGAUAGCACAUCUUACUCAAGGAGGCUACCUUGCCACGGCCCACCGGAAUUGUGGAGGCCUGGAAGGCCUGGAAACCUUGGUAUUUGGGUCGUUUGUGGGGUUCGGUCCUUGUAUGAGCUUUUUACUGUUUGAGCUUUGUUUUGUAGGAAACUUUUUUUUUUCUUUUGAUCCAUGCCAAUAUGUAUUUCCACCGGCUGGAUUGUUGAACUAUUCAUCGACAAUGAAAUGCUACAUUUAUGUAAAACUUAGAAAGUGAAAGUACGUGGGUGUUUAGCUAUUCUUAAUAUAUUUUUAGCCUUAAAAUAAAGACUUAACCACUUCAUUUUGGCCAACGAAUUCUAAAAUAUGUAUAGCAGUCUGUACAUACUUCUGUUUUCAUUUCGUUUUUUGUCUAGCCAGCUGUAACUAUCCAUCAAAUAGGCAAUAGGCACACUCUUGUACCCGUUCGUUCAGAAGAACGAAUUCUAAAACAAACGUGUUGCUAGAGGCUACGAAUUCUAAAACAAACGUGUUGCUAGGGGCUGAGGCCUGAGGCCGUUAUCAGAUGGACCAGUUAUAUGGCUCAGCUCUCUUGCACAAAUACUCUUAUUUCUUUUUUCUCGUGUCAUUUCAUUUAAGUUCAAAAAAGGAGUACACGAAUCCAAAAUGGACCUAACCUGACUACAAAGAACACACCACCCGCACACCAGGACAUUGGACUACAGACGCGCCACAAAGACAAAAAGAAAACCGACCAGACGCGUCUAACAAUUGGUGGAUACAACUUUCAGUACCGUAUAGGCAAAUUUUCAGUCUAACAUCUCAGAACCUACAGGCAUACAGAUCUGGUUUCUGUAUAAGUUCGUUUAAAAAAAUUCUUCUUCAUGCUUAUCAGCAACAUCACAAUUAUCGUUAUAAAAAACUAUACUGCACUGAAAGAUUUAGCAACCAGAAAAGGAGGGGGGAAAUAUUUGACUAGCUAAUCAGCUAUGCAAUUCUAUAAAAAGAAUGAACUCAGCAUGCGGGUGCGUUCGGUUUGUGCCCAUGCCCUGCCCUGCCAAAACCGUUGGAUUGCCAAAUAAUUGGGAGGAAUCAGCCACCGCCUGGGCGUGAGAGCAAGCAUGUGGGCACGUCUUAGGUUGGCGCCCAUCCGAACGAGGGGAGCAAUCACAGUCAAGAACCAAAAAAUCAAUCAGCAGGCAUGGGCAUAAAACCAAACACACCCUCAGCCUUCCACUUUAAUGUAUAUGCUUCCCUAUAUGCAGUUCCUAUUAUGUCUCUGUUUUCGGGUUAUCGAUCGACCCAGACGAACCCGUCGAGUGGUGAGAGCAUCCAGCAAGAUAUCUAAUGAGCACUCCACUGCCUCAGCUUGCUUUUCAAACUCUAAUGUGCUGAGCUCAGGCCGCAAAUUCAACUCCCAGAGGAGUCCAGCUGCAGCUGCUGCAGUGCAGGUGCGAUCCCAUGCUGGCUGCGGUCUGUUCAUAUGAAAAGGCAUAACAUACUUAAAAUAAGCAUUUGACAAGGGGGGAAGUAACUAGAAAUGGAGUAACUGAUAAGAACAAGUAAAGCUUUUUGCUCACCGCAGUUUAUGCAUCACUGAGGCACUAAGCGUAGAUAGUGAGAUACAAGGAAUAUCUUCAUCUCCCCAUAUUGCAGUCCAUCUCUCCUGUAUCAAAAUAAUAGAUGUUAGGUCAUAUAGCUACUUGUAUCUCACAUAGGGACUUCAAGUUCAAACCUUGAAACUAGACAAUGGCAAGUAGCUUGCAACCCAACCCUAUUCUGGUCUGCUCUCAGUUUUUGUGAAUGGUCUUGGGUUGAGGAUUUGGAAGUAUAGAUUUGUAUGAUCUAAUCAAGAAUCAUCUGAGAAAAUAUACAAUCUAUAGGUACAUGAUUUCAAGUAACACUUUAGAUAUGAAACCUACUACAAGACUACCAUGCCACCCUUCAGGUAAGAAUUGAAGUAUUUGGCAUAAUAGUCAAGAAACUACACCUUUCAAAUUGAAUUUCAUGAAGCUAUAGUAAACAAAGCACGAUCCAGUAAUUUGGUUAGAUGUGAAGUCGACAGGUAUUCAUGUGCCCGAAGCCUGAUUUGUGGCUCUUGUUGGGUUUCAACUCUAGCCUACCCCAACUUGCUUGGGGCUGAAAGGCUAUGUUGUUGUUGUUGUUGUUGUUGUGAAGUCGACAGGUGGGAACAGCCUGUUUGUGUAAUUGACAUGUUGAAAACACCAGCCAGCAGAAAAAACAUGAGCACUUUUGUGUUUACUGGUAGUCUAGACAGCCUAAGAAUGGAAUGCAUGUGUCAGAUGAGAAACGCAUUGAACUGUACCUUCAACCUUCUGUACAGUGCAGCAGAAUUACUCCAGGUACCAUCAAGCAAAAUGAAGUUGAAAGGUUCAUCCUGUGAACUCUGCAUUGCAGAAAUUAAAUCAUUACCAUGUAUCAAAAUGUUGAAAGUUGAUAUGACGUGUUAGUUCCAAAACCAGAACGCACUCAACAAACUAAAUCACUCAAUACUUAACAUAAUGAACAAAAGGUGCUCAUUAAAAAAAUCCACAUGGAAUAUAUGUAUAUAAGGGAGUACUACUUACUGUCAUCUGUGCUACAGUAUAAAUCAUGGAAUGCCAGCUAAAAGAACAUAAUACAUACCAUGUCAUGAAGGUCAGAACUCAAGGACAAACCAUCGAAUUUGAGGUCUUUGACUGACUUGGGAAUGGUACUCUUGUUUGGAUAUAGAAAUGAGAUCUUCCCCUUUCCUGGAGGAACACCACAUCAGAAUGGAAACUGAGAUAUUUAAGUUUAACAACGAAAAGCACUGAAAAACACAUGUUCUAGCUAAAGAUACCAAUGACUCAGUAUAUGGGCAUACUAAAUGAUUGAUUAAUUCAGCAAUCUUCUGCAGAUCAUAAAGUAAAUGUAGUCCACUCAGCAUUUCAUUUGUAGUGAUCAGUUCAGAUAUAGAUGCAUUCUGCUUUUGUUCAUGCGAAAUAUCAGCUCAUACCAUAGACAAUCAAUGCAUCAAAGGAUGCAAUUUAAUGCUAUUAGAUCCAGGUCAAGCACACAAUGCAUCAGUAGAACCAUUCACGAUGAUCAAAAUAAAAGGAACCAAAUGCAAACAGAAAAGAAAACCCAACUAUGCACAGAAUUUGAACCAUAAAGUCCUGGAUGUCAGUAAACAUGGACGGUUACAGGCUCUAUUUCUCUUAAACAUGUUAACACUCAACACUCAUUUAAACUAUGAUCAAUAUCACAAAUUAGCAUCUUAUUUUUUGCUUCCAUGAAACUAUGACAUUACCAUGUCAUAGAUCAACAAUUGAACCUCGCUGCAGUGGUAACUGGUAAGCAACCUCGGAAGCAGGUUAAGUAAACAUAAAUAUUUAUAUGUACAAUAUGAGGUAGGAAGAAAAGUCGACAAGUAAACAACUGAGCUCGGAGAAUACAUCAUCUAUUGGCUUUAGUCUUUAAAUGAGGACAUUUGCUCGUCGUCACUAAUGCAACUUCGGAAAAUGAAGUGAAUUUAAGAGACUAAGUGUUAUGUGACCAAAACAGCACAAGAGAACCUCCAAUGUCCAAAAUUGCAACCCCUUUUCUUCUUUUCGGAAUUCAAAAUAUAUAAUAUGCAUGCAUCAUACAAAGAUGGGGCAAUGGCCCCAUAAGAAGUCUAUACUCUAUCAAAUCCACUAAAUGCAUUAAUAACAAGGCUCAAGAUGUAUCAUAACACGGUGAUCUGUUAUUGACCUCUUACACUAAAACUGAUUUCUGGAUUCACAAUAGGGCAAUGCCAUCAGAGUCAUCAACACCUCCCCAUUCCACUGGAAGCCACAUUCUUAUUCUUUCAGCACCAAGCAAUCACAACAUAAACAGCAACAUCACAAAUCUAAAAGUAUGUCAUGUAUUUGUAUCCUAAGUAGGAUUAAGCAUAUCAGUUGAGCUUAGUUGACAAAAGAAUGCUUUACACACCUAACAAGAAAUUUACAACUCUACAAAGGAUCAAUUGCAGCAAGUGAAAGUUAAUCUAAACUACCAAGCAGAAAUGAUUAAAUCAAGGCAAGUACUUGCAAUACUAUUCAACAAUUGAGAAACCAAAGAUGGUUUUAAGGUCACCUGAACGCUGAAAUGCAUCCCACAUUAUAUCUUCAUGCUCCUGGAUACCAAAGAGGCAUAGCUGUGCAGCUUGGAUGCCAAAUACUUGCCAGAGUAACUUUCCAGUGUUGUUUUGGCGUAGAAAGUCCUGCAAAAACAGAGAUGCUUAUACGCAAUAGGAAGGUAGUACAUAAGUAAAAACUGCACGAUGCUCUACAGAAAAACCUUUGGAUGCAUAUAUAACCAGAAUUUCAUCCCCCUCCAAAGAUUGCAAGGAAAAACAUUUGCGCACAUACAAUCUUCAGCUGGUAGCCAGCACUGCAAUUUCAGAAGUAAAUGGAUCAGUUAGACAGACUGUUUGAAGGUUCAGUCCUAUGACCAUCAAACCCCAAGAUGCUGCGUUGCUGUAUCAGUGCUCAAGUGCUUAAUGAACAGAGAUCAGGCAUCACAUUACCUUCUGGCACAGGUACCCUCUGCUCCCUAGCAAACGGCAACCAAUCUGCCGCGCCGAGAAAUACUGCAGCUUCUGGUCGGAGUCGGCAAGCGUCUCAUAGACAGCCCUGUGCUUCUUGUCCUCCACGUCCUUGAAAUCACCCUGCGAAGACCAGAUAAAAUCAGACCGCGUAGCCAUCAGCGCUGCCAUGAGUUCAACUCCUGCAUUGAUCUCCCAGAACCUUCACGAACCCACAAAAUGGAAGGUGAUGACGUCACCUUCAGCUUGGAGCCGACGCCGCCAAAGCGCAUCUUCUCGCCGGCGGCGGCCUCCAUCUCGAGCAGCUCGCGGACGACGGCGGCCACCGCGCCCGGGAGCGGCGAGGAUGUGCCCCAUCGCCGCCACUCCUCGUGGCUCACCUCGCCCGCGUCACCGGCGCCGCCGCCGGCCGCGGCGGUGGCGGGGAAGGGUUCCUCCUCCGAUUCCGCCUUCUCUUCCCCCGGUGCCGGCUCGGCGGAGAAGGCCAUGAAGGAGCGCGCGGGGGCCGGGCCGAGGCGGGGAAGCGUCCGCGGCGGGGGGAGGAGGAGGGGAACUGGGAGGCGGCGGUGGAAGGCGAGGGCACGGAUGGAGGAGGCGGGAGGAAGCAGAGCCAGCAUUUUUUUUCUCCGCUAGUCUGCUGUUUUUUAUUGUUUGUCAGCAGGCAGGGAGCGCCGCCUCGGUGCGCCGGUAGCCCGGUACCGUGGGGAUUGGGGAACGCACUUCUGUGAGAGGAGUGAAUUUGCAGGGUUGCCGGCGCGGAGGCAAAGCCAAGCGACCUGCCACGUCGCCACGUACCGCUAGCCGCCCGCCGGCGAAUCCUCUGCUGCCUCGCCACAGCGUUGCUGUGCCUCAGCAAUCUUUCAGGCAAGUCCCCAUACAUUGUUUCAUUACACAAGGACUAUUCCAAAUAAAAGUUUGAUGGGUUUCCAAGAACUUGAGACGAAACUCCUCUCACAUCUGAUAAAAUUUCUCCUUCUCCCUCCUCAUAAUAACCUUGUCAAGUCAGCAAAAUUGCUGAGGCGACAUACAGUUUAAUGUUCAUGAAAUUAUUAUGAAACCUUCCAUUGGGACCAGUCUGAGUAGCGCUUCUUUAAAAAUUAAGCUACGAUGAAAAAUUAAUGCUCACAGAAUCUGCUGGUAAGAGAAAGAAUCUGAUGGUGAGAGAAGCAGCCGAGGAGUGUAGAGGUGGCGGAUAAAUGAGAGUGGAGGGACAUGCUGAGUUACCCCUUGCGGCGCUGCGCGAUGCAGUAGGGUGGGAGGAUGGGGUGAAACAACUAAAGACAUAUUUAUAUGAGGGCUGGAGGUAGGUAGUUUAUUGUCAAUUCUAAGGGUAAUCUUGGUACUAUCAUUUAUUGAUUCUAGAUGAAUCCCCAAUAAGUGAUAAAUAUUUUAAGGCAGUGUUUUGAUUGAUGUCUCAAGGCAUGUAGUCGAGUCGUGCUUUGCCCGCUUCUGCUCUUGCCAUCCUCCAGUCAUGAAUCUUUAGUUGUACACUUGAACAUAGUUAAGCAAAGCACAGGGCUCAGAGAUCGAGUAUUAGGCACGACUCUCCUUUCGAGCUUAUUGACCUUUAUUCCCAUAAUGGAGAGCAUUGUUUGCCGCCAAUGUUACAGGACUCGUAUACAUGAGAAGAAAAGGAGAAAAAAUAUAUAUCGAAGAAAAUUGAACUUUGAGAGCCUCGGAGAAUCAGUUUCAAACAGGCCCUAGUCUCCUGCGACUCUCGAGAUUUUAUUGAGUGCAUUGCGACUCUGGUUGGUACCGCUUGCUAAUUAUCAGGAUAAUAUCAUAUACAAAUGUUAAAGUUGAACAACAAUAACUGUAGUAGAAAUAAUUUAUGCCGUGCAUGGUCAUUUUGCAAACUUAAUGUGACUUACAACGGUGCUCAUCUAGAGUUCGCAUCGAAAUAUGAAAGAACACAUUGUACCUCAAUUUUAUUGUUACACAUGGAGUACCAUAAAUUGAUGGCAUCCGGUCUUCGAUAACAUUGCCUUGCCGGAUCCUAACCUGCCACGUAAUAACAUGGCACUCACACGGGCACAUCUCAGGGCACGCUCCUCGACCCGACCCGACCGGACCAGACCCAAUCCCGUUCCACCAGCGAGACGGCCUCCGCUGCCAUGGCGCCUCCCCUUCCUCCCCCGGUUCCCUCCCCUCUGUAAACCCUACCAAAUCAAUCCCGAGCUCUCCGUAUCGGUCGCUCCGCGGCUCAAAAUCCGAAUCAAAUCGAACGAGCAGAACGAAAAACGAAGCAGCCGCUCCCGGAUCCGGCAGGAUGGAUCGCUCCCGCUCCAAGCGCGGCUACCACUACGACCAGGACUCGCCGCCGCCCCGCUCCAAGCAGCGCUUCGACCGCCGCAGCGGCGGCGGCGGCGGCGGCGGCCAGAACCCUAACUCCGGCUACCAUCGCCGCGGGCCACCCGGCGGCGGCUCCGACCGCCGCGGGUUCCUCCCCCCUGACGCCGCGCCGCCCCCGCCCCCGCCACCGCCUCCCCCACCGUCGGCGGCCGCGGGGCCGCCGGGCGCCGCGUCCAACACCACCUCCUUCCGCAUCCUGUGCCCCGAAUGCAAGGCCUACGGCUUCCCGUCCGGCUUCAUCGCCAAGGUCCGCGACGACAGUGGCGCGCUCGUCACCGUGCACCCGCCCUUCGCGGGCGACUACGUCCGGAUCAUCGAGACGGUCGACGGCGUGCGGCGCGAGGCCGACGGCCGCCCGCCCAUGUACUCCCCGGCGCAGGAGGCGCUCCUCAUGGUGCACCGCCGGAUCCUUGAGACGGAAGCCGAGGAUGGCGACGAGGACGGCGAGUACGGGCCCAGGGGGAAGGAUCCGCGGGACAGGGGGAAGACCACAACGCGCCUCAUCGUGCCCAAACUGCACGUUGGAUGCCUGCUCGGCAAGGGUGGCAAGAUCAUCGAGCAGAUGAGGAUGGAGACCAAGACACACAUCAGGAUUCUGCCGCGCGACCAGAACACUCCACGCUGUGUGUCCUUGUCCGAGGAGGUUGUACAGGUAUGACAAUUGCUUGCUACAAUAAUGUGCUAGUGAUUUUUCCAAUUUGGUUCGUGCAAGAGGAUGGUAAGAACACACAUGAAUGUUCAAAGAUGCAAGCAAUAGGCAUGAGAACAGAGAUUAAUUAAGGUAAACUAUUAUCAGUGAACAAUAAGAUUAGAAGUCAAAACCAAAGGGAGAUUGGAAAUAGUUCCCUACUCUUCAAGCUCCAUAAAUGCAUCAUCUGCCAACAUAGGUAAGGCUGCAAGCGUCAUGAAAUAAAAAUGCAUUAUCUCUAACUCAAGAUUGAGGAUUCUGUAGAUGACCACUUCCUACUGGCUUUCACAUUAUGUCUAUUGAACACGUUGAUUCCCAAGAUCUACCGCAUUAGUGGCUGUGCAUUGUAAUGAAGCACCAAAGUACUGGUGGUUAUGCUGCGCAUUUGCUGCUUGCCCAGUUCUUGGGACAUAGGUUUGAUUUGACUAAUUUUGGGUAAUCUAUAUUCUGAUGAAAGUUGAGGUCAGUGCUAACAGUGGUCACUUCUCUGAAAGCAGAGGUCAGUGGUAACACUGAUAACCUUCUUGAUGUGGAAAUGCAUGCCGUGGCCAGAGAAUCCCUUCUGACCUGAGUGCCAGUGCCUUGCGCCUACUAUUAACUGAGCAGAUGAAGAAAGUUUGCCCCCUUCUGCACCUUUCUUGAGAUGCUUGGAAUUUGGAUGCUCCACAGUAGCCCAUGAAGCUAACAUGAUUGAGAGAAAAAGGGACAUUUUUGGUGUGUUUAUUUGUUUGCUGGGAGAAGGGUGGACCUGGCGCAGUGGUAAAACUCUCCACUUGUGGCCCAGAGGUUCUGGGUUCGAACCAGCCUCUUUGCAGAAUUUUAAAAGAAUUUUGCAAGGGUAAGACUAUCUAGGAAUUCCCUUCCCCAGACCCCACCUUGUGUGGGAGCUUUCGCACUGGGUACACCAUUUAUUUGUUUGCUGGGUCAACUACGUGUCUGCAUCAUGCCUAGUAAAUGCCAUGUCCAUGGUGGGAAAACCACCUUUGAGAUCAGGCUAGGAGAUUAUUUGCUCUUGUAUUAGAAGUGGGUAGAACGCCGGUUGCACAAGUGAGUACUAAAUAAAAUGAUCAGGCUUGUGCUCUAUACUUAGCCAUAUCACUGCGAAUAUAUAUGCAUAAAAAAGGAUAAACAACAUUCUUUAUUUGAAAAAUCUCUUUUACUAUAACUCUCUUCUCAUUCUAUGGUGUACCUCAUGAUAUUUCAGGUUGUUGGAGAUGGAAAUUGUGUUAGGAAGGCUGUAGCAAUAAUCACUGAUCGCCUAAAGGAAAGCUUACACCGUGAUCGUGGUCCUUUCCGAGGGCGAAUGAAUUCACCAGAGCCUCGAAUUUCUCAGGAAGAUGAAUACUUGGGUGGUGUUCAGCAGAUGCCUGUAUAUGAAGAAACUUACGGGCGACCUGAUCAGAUUAGGAACAACAUUAGCCUGGAGCCACCAGGAUAUGAGUUUGAUUCAAAUGGUGGCAAGGUCAUUGAACAUCCAGAUAUUCUAUACGAUGAUAUCGUAUUUCGAAUUCUUUGCCCAAAUGACAAGGCUAGCAGUUUAGUUUCAACACGUGAUGGAAUAAUAGAGAUGCUACAGGCAGACGUUGGUGUUGAUGUUAGGCUUACUGAUAUUAUUGCUGGUUCUGACGAAAGGGUAGUAAUCAUCACAUCCAGAGAGGUAAAUCGCAUAAUUUUGUGUCUCUCUGUUUUUGUUAUUUUGGCUUGAGUGUGAAUACCAGUUGAGCUCUGAUACGUAUAUCAUGGUAUUGCUACCUGAGUGAUACAAAGGUGACAUGAUAGAAUUUGGGAACAUUCUCACAUUACAUUCCUGAUAUUAGUUAUAUUGCUCCUAUAAAGUCAUAUGUUCUUGGCACUGUAAAAUGCAAUUAUUCUAGGUAAAAAUGAGGCCUAUAUUUAAAUUUAGUACUAAGUGACGUGGAUCACAACUCGGUGUUACGGGUUUAUGCCCCACUACCUAGGUUCCAGUCGUCUUCGACUCGAAUAAGGACGCAUAUUUUCAAUGUACUGAUUAUCAAUGUAGUGAUUGUUUUCACUGAUGAUAAGUAGAAUUCUUGGCCCGCUAACACAGAUUUACAGUGGGCUGUUAGCUAAAAUUGCCCCUUUUUAAACCAAAUCUUUCCGACAUCGAUUGAUGACAGUCAGAUAGUGCUUUGUACUUGUUAAUGAAUUAAUAGGGCUUUAUACUAUUUGUUAUUCUAGGAUGUUCUCCAGUUUCAGAUAUGAUUUUAUACAAGGGACAACAUUCCCUAGGAUAUUUUUGAGUUAACUACUACUAAUUGAGAAAGUUUACAGCAGUGCUUGCACGUAAAGUUAGUUUGGCCUUUUGUCACAAUUCAUCGCUUUGCUAUCUGCAUUUCAAAUAUUCUAGUCUGUUUUUGGUUUUAAUAUCCUGUUAUUCUUUACUUUGGGAAUGUUUGUCUAUUUGUACCUUAUCUUAAUUAUCAUCUUAACUGAUUUGUAAGAUUGCUUUUCCAUCCUGAAGGAUCCAUUUUUAUAUGGUUUUGUGUGUGCUUUUGAUAUAGGGCCCAGACCAUGAGCUUUUUCCAGCUCAGGAAGCACUGCUGCACAUCCAAACUCAUGUUGUAGACCUUGGCCCUGAUAAGGAUAACAUUAUCACAACAAGACUACUUGUACCUUCAAGUGAAAUUGCUUGCUUUGAUGGAAGGGAGGGGUCAUUAUCUGAUAUACAGAGACAGACUAGUGCAAAUGUGCAGAUAUUACCAAGAGAAGAUCUUCCAUUGUGCGCCCUAGAGUCUGAUGAACUCAUACAGGUUUGUCCUCAUCCCAGGAAAAGACUUUUCCAUUUUCAAUGUUUAGCAAGAUAAGUACAUGUUAAUUUAGGCAGUUUGUUCCGGUAGCAAUGCGUUGGCAAUUAGGAGGAUUGCGAAUUGGGGUUUCUUGAAUAGCGGCUAUUUUGUUUUUCUAAACCAACCAAAAGUUUUAUUUAUGUACCUUGUACCAGGACAUGAGCUCAGAGGCUCAGAUCAGUAGCUUGUUUAUUUGCAGAGAACUUUUGAUUAUACAUGCCAUCACAGAUUUUGCAUGCAUGGAUAUAAUUUUUAUAUCUUUUUGAGUUUUAAGUUCAUUAGCCUUUUUAUCUAGUGGCUGAUCCAUUAUAUUCUUGCAGAUUGUUGGAGAGAUUAGAGCUGCUCGGAAUGCUCUUAUGCAAGUAACCACAAAAUUAAGGAGUUAUCUAUACCGUGAGAUGUCUGGUCCUAUUCAAGUCGGCAACAUUAAUGUACAUGGAGCCAUUUCUCCAGCAACAGGCUCACCUCGAGGACCAUACCAGGGAAAUGAUAUUCCAAUGGGUGCUUACCACCAAGCACCACAACUGGCAGCUUCGUGGCACUCAAAGGUAGAUCUGAUGUACAAAUGUUCCUUGAUGUCAGUAGAGGAAGAGAUUUUUAUACAUUAUUGGACUGUUGUUUAAAAGACGCUUAUAUAAACUUUAUUUUUCUUUGAUGUAUCUUUUGCACUGGUCUCCUUUUUUGCUGCAUGUUCUGUUAUAUUUUGUUUUGUUUAUUUCUUUCCAAAUGUGCUCGCUCUAUUUCUUUAAAUUUUGGUUAAUUAUCAUCAGCAACCUUGCAUUCUGCAUUUCUACUUGAAAAAACAAUGCUAGAAAUAAUAAAUGAUCCAUAAUGUUCGUUCUAUGUUAUAGUCACUUUUGUGUUCAUGUUACCUCUAGCGAUUGCUUGAACUGUGCAAUAUGUUAUUUUCAAUUGCAGGAUAGUGGAGGCAGUGCAAGUGGAUCAUAUGAGCAAGGUAGCAACAUUAAUGAUGAUAUCAGGCAAAAUGCUACAAAAAGGUAAUGCUUUAUCCUUCCUCUUGUUUCUUAUGUUAGGUUGUUCCUUAACCACAUCCUUUUGUCCUCCAUCAGAUUUGCCGUUCCUCUAGUGACUAGAAGCACAUUAGAAGUUGUCAUACCGAACAGUGCUGUUGCAAGCCUCACCAUGAGGGCUGGUAGCAAGCUUGCCCAAAUAAGCGAGGUGCAGUAUAACAUUCUGGGUUUUCUUUAGUACCAAAGGGAGGACAGUUACAUCUACUAUUGCCUUCUAACUGUUCGUUGGAAACAGAUGUCUGGUGCUACUGUAAAGCUCGCUGAUGAUAGACCUGACGUCUUAGAGAAAGUUGUACAAAUAUCUGGUACCCCUGAGCAGACUGAAAAAGCUAAGAGUUUGCUGCAGGGAUUUAUUCUUAGCAGUGAGUAUCAUUUCCUUUAGUUUUUUGUUUCCUUUUCAGCAAUAUAUAACUAUUUCCCCUUUCUUUUUUUAAAAUUUCAGUCCAAGAUGACAGCUGAAGACUUAAGUGGACUCUGCUGCAUGUCGUAGGUGUUAUAUCGUCAAAUUUUCCAGUUAAUGGCCUUUAGGUAGAAUACCUCUGUGUCCAUGUGAUUAUUUGUAAUUUGUCUAAUGGAGGGUCAUGUUUCCGUGUGCGAAGUGUUAGGAUAAGUUCACAUUUAUCUUUUCCCUAGGUGUAAUGCUAAGUAGCCAAAAUGUGUUUUGUUUCUAGUUUAUCGUUGUAAGAUAGUAGACGUUUUAUCGAUUGAUUCAAUUUCCAUAUUCAUAGAUGGCUGCUGGCCUAAUUGGUCAGGUAGUUUGGUUAGAACUUGAAUAUAUCUUCCUAGUCAUUUGAGUGCUCAAGCUCAACUAUGCGGUUUGUUGACCUUCCAAGGUAACACAGUACAAAGCAUUGAUGCAUGCAUGAUGGUCGCCGUACUGGAUUCCUCUGUUCUCCUUUUUAAUUGCAAAUUUGUGAUCCCUGCGUGUAUUGCAUCCGACAUCCGUGUCGGCCUGCUGGAUUUAUAAGCCGGCUGAAAAACUGAAACGGCUGAUUUGCUGUGAGAGGAAAACAUUGUUCGGUGGCUGGUAAGUCGACUGAUAAGCUGAAGCGAACAGUGUGUAUAUCUGAGCUAUUCAUGCUUGUGAGUUGUGGCAAAAGAAUUUAACAAGUACUGACUGAUGAGUGAGAUGUAUUUCGGUGGUCAAGCAGCCAAACUGUUAGUGGCUUAGAGCAACUUCAAAAGACUGUUAAUCUUACCCCUAAUAUCCUUUUUAGGAAAAAAUGAAAAAAAAAAGAACUCCAACAGUUCCCCCACACCUUUCCCAAUCUUUUCGCGAUAAAAAAAACAGCCACCCACCGUGUAUAUUUUAGUGUUUGGAUUCCUCCCCGAAUCGCGAUUCCCGCGCGCCAGCCCGACCUUUCCCGCACGCGCGAGCACCACCCUUCCCCCGCGGCCUCUUCCCGCGCGCGCCGCGGCAGCGGCGGGGUGAGGGCUGGCGGCGGCGGGGUUACGGCUGCAGCGGUGGGGUGGUGCCGGCAGAGCGAGGGGCGACGGCUGUGGCAAGGUCCGGCUUCCAGCGCAUGUUCUCCAUAUCAGCCUUCGUGCCGCCGAAGCCACCCGUCCCGCGACCCCAGGCCGACCCCUCCGUGAACCUCUUCGUCUCCGGUACUGUCCCUCCUCCCCGUUCCUCUUCGCUCCCUUUUUCUAGUGAGACCUAUGGAGGCAAUCUGCUCUGUUGAUUUAGCUCGAAUGUUGAAUCAGUGAUGCCGGUGGGUGGUCAUGUGGUCUUGAUUUUACCUGUCGAUUAGGCCUGGUAGCUCUGGAUCUCGUCGUGGCCUAACCACAAUUUUAUGUACAUCUUGCCUUUCCAUCAGACUGGCUUUAGUGUCAGUUUGGCUCACAGGAAUACGGUGCUCAAUGUUCCUGUGUGAAAGUUAGCAACUACUGUUUCUGCUUAAUCUUGCAUGACCUGACAUAUAAAUGAAACUAUGCUAUGAUUAUACUAUUAAAAAGCGAUGUAAAAUUUGUAGAACUUGGUUCCUCCAGUUCUAUGCAUCUCAGUAUGGUUAUCUAGUUAUUUAGCGUAAGGAGUCUAUACAGCUAGAAAAGGAGCUCUUUUAUCGUGCUCUUGAAUCUGUCAGUCUGCAGAGUAGCAUCUUCUACAAGUAGCAUCUUUUAUCGCUCUUCAAAUUCUCAUUGUAGUUUCUGAUGUUGCCUUGUUCUGUCAUUUUGUGGAUCACUCUUCUUAUGUUGCCUUGUUGCCCAGAUGAUAUGCAACUUUGCUUAUCAGCUUAUGUAUUUGGCUUUUUAUUAUGUUUGAACUAUCAGCCUACAGAAGCUUUUGCAUAUCAACCAAGAAAAAAAAUUUAAAUUGGUUUGGUUUCUUUUUGGGUUCUGUCUUACUAGCAUUUCUUUUCAUCCCUAUUUGAAAGAUAUUGAUGAGCAGCGCCGUCCAAGGUUUUUCUUUCAGUUUUUUUUGCAGUCAUGCUGCAUUGCGUAUAGAUAUGCAAUUAUUUUCUCCCCCUGACAGCUCCAUUUUUGGUGCAGUUACUUGAUGGAUGAGUUAUUUUUGCCGAAUACGCUAAACCUAGGCCGCCGCCCCAGCAAGCAGAGAUGAUUUCACAGCCACAGCAAUUAUGGGGCCCUCCAUCAGGUUUCUGGAGUUCACAGAUAUUGUGUGUGCUGUCCCAGGUGUGAAUGCCCUUGGUGUUCCGAUAUUCUUACCGUGUUGGAUUGGUCGUUUCCUUGCGUCCAUGGUAUCCACACGAAGAAGUAGUUGUCAAUUCAAAUACGGACCAAAACAUAUGAGCAGCGGCCUAACUAAAAAGAUUCAAUAUGAUGACGUGACCUAAUUUAAAAUAUUAGGAGGUUAGUUUUUAGCGUUAUGCUAUAGCUGAUAUGUUUUGGGGGAAAAAAAAUUUAACAUAACAAAACGAGGUUUUGAGGAAGAAUUUUUUGAAAACUCUUGGAGUUGCUCUUAGGGCUGCUCGUUUUCCCUCGUAUUUUUAUGGAGAAUCAAAAGAGGGCAUAACAGUCUAUCGAGCAAUUACAGCUUUCUAAAUUUCUCCGACUUUUCGAGAACAAUUUUCCAAUGUAGUUCCAUACAGUCUGAUUCACCAAAUAUUGUGUCAAAAUAUAACAUUUCAGCUAGGCGUGCAAAGAUUCAUUAGGGCUGAAUUACUUCUCUGUGUUUCUAGAAAGUAAUGACCUCUGGAUCAGUAACACGCUUGUAGUUCUGGCUAACAUGAUUCUACAAGAUUGCGUUCUGGCUAUUCAUUCGAGACAUGAUUGUACAAGAUAGCAUCUAAAAAGUUCCCCUCAGCAAGAGAGACGACAGAGAACACAGCAGAUGAGACACGCUCUGAUAGUCUGAUGGAACUAAGAUACUGUCAGCUAAAACCAAACAGCAAUCAGCAAAGUCAUCUAAGGGGGUGUUUGGAUCCCCGGGCUAAAUUUUAGCCCCUGUCACAUCAAAUGUUUGGACACUAAUUAGGAGUAUUAAACAUAGGCUAAUUACAAAACCAAUUUCACAACCCCUAGGCUAAAUCGCGAGACGAAUCUAUUAAGCCUAAUUAGUCCAUAAUUUGACACUAUGAUGCUACAGUAAACAUUCGCUAAUGAUGGAUUAAUUAGGCUUAAUAGAUUCGUCUCGCGAUUUAGCCUAGGGGUUCUGCAAUUAGUUUUGUAAUUAGCUCAUAUUUAGUCCUCCUAAUUAGUAUUUGAAUGUCCGAUGUGACACGGACUAAACUUUAGCUCCAGGAUCCAAACACCCCCUAAACAUUCCAUCACAAGGCUAUAAAUUCUGCAUGCAACAACAAACAUCACCAUGUCUUGAUAAACAAAAAUAAUUUGAACAAAAUAAUAAGCCUUCCAAGAGUCAAGAAUUGUUUGCAAUAUUGUUAUAAAAUAAAAAAAAUACAAAUCAACACAUAGAUGGCACCAAAGAAAAACCCAACGACAAGUAUCAUAAGGGAAACAACAGAGAAAAUAAAAACAAGCAACAAAUACAAAUUGUUGAACAACAGUAGCCAGGAAUAAAGCAAGAGCAACAAGGAAAAGACAAAUGUUACUACUUACAUUAACAAUUCAGUGUUGAUGUACAAAGAAAGCCCUGAUUUGUAACACCUAAUGCAAUGAAUCAAACUAAAAAUCAACAUACCACCAAAGUACCACCCAGUAAAUGUGCAUAGGAUCUCAAUCUUAGAUGAAUUUUUAAACCAGACUAGCAAAUGUCUCGAAAUCUCUCAAAAUGUCUCACAUGCCUAGAAAGCCUUUGAACAAGAAAGCACAGACCAAUAUUUCGAAUAAAAGAAACAAUUUCUGAUGUACAUACUACAUAGUCAACUCAAAACAUUUAAUCUGAAGAGCUAUGAUUGAUAUGAACAGAGUGGCAAGUGUCAAACCACAAAUCAUUAACCCUUCUAGUAACAAACUAUAAUUGGCUCUACACUUCAACCCGGAUCAUAGAAAGGGGCAAAGGAACCCUUUUUCUAACAUUACUCAAACAUUUAAUCUGAAGAGCUAUGAUUGAUAUGAACAGAGUUGUGUAGACAAGCAUCAAACCACAAAUCUCCCUAUACCAAAUUAAAAUUAGCUCUACACUGCAACCGGAUCAUAGAAAGGGGCAAAGGAAUCCUUUUCUAACAUUGAUUCACCGGCAGGAGGAUCCGGUGAAUUGGAAUUUAGGUUUGAAAUUCCCCCAGGAAGCCAUCACAUCCCCAAAUUAUUAUAGACCGAAACCAGAAUUGCUGCCAAUCGGCCAAAUAAACCAACCAGAGAACACGAUCGAGAACAACAAUAGCAAACCACCAGUAUAGCAUUUGUAAUAACAGCAUGUACCAGAUUCAAACGAAAUUAAUCCGCCAUUAUUUAACCACCUCAGACCCUAACCACAUCUCUCGUCGCAUCACAAGAUUAUGCUGGCAAAAGUGCAAAUCCAUAACAGCCAGCCUAAACCAUAUCACCACAUGCUACUAGAACAUAACAAUAAGAAGUCACAUAUAAGAAAGUAACCGCGAGGAACAGAAAUCUUAGAUCUUGUCGAUGUCCUCGUCCUCGAACUGGAUGUAGUCGCUGCCC